rnacentral:lncRNA from 1 species
CUGAAAAGUGGCAUUCUAUUUUCCCAACAAAUGACCGAACCAAGUUUUCCAUAUGGAGUGUCAUAAACUGGAGUUGUCGAGCAAUCUCCGAAACCCCAGAACAGCCGCUCCCAAUAUGUUGGCAUGAGUUUCCUAUGUUUUCCAAGGUAAUUACCUUCAGGAUCAAAGAAGAGAACUGUGGAAUACAAUGUGUAUCCAUCUCUCUCAACAACGCCUGUCACUAAGUAGACUUUGUAUUUCGCAGCCAUUGAUGCCAAUCUAUCCGCUUCAGGUCCUGAAAAUACAUUAAUAUGAGAUCAAAGAUGAAACAUGUAAGCUGAUCGUUCAUCACAAAGCAUAAGUAUAAUUUUUUUCUUGGUUCAUUCAUCAAACGUGUCUUGUUUCAAUAACUAAUUAAGUGGUUCAGUUCUUUAGCUAUUUAAGGGAGAAAGAGAGAGAUAACUGACCCGGCACAUUAAUGGCAGAAGCAUGGUACUUGCGGAAACUUUCUUUCCCUCUUGGCGACUGGUCGGCAAAGUUGUAUCCCCGGGGAUACCCACCGAUAAAUGCUUCAGGAAACACAACCAGUUGGGAUCCUAGUGCAGCUGCUUCUUUCAAAAACCUCUCAGCCUUAUCUGCUCUCAAAAUCACAUUGCAAGAAUUAAUAAUCCACGACUUAGAAAGUAAAUGAAUUGGUUGAAUGGAGAGAAUGAAAAUUAACUUCAAGGGAUCCCGAAUGACUUUUUGGUUGCUGAGAAAACUCAAGGAAAAAGAGACCUAGAUGAAACUUGAAACUCUCAUAUUUUCAGCUGUUUUGUAACUAAGAAAAGAGAAACCACCUCAACCCAACUCAUUAAAAUAAUUGUAAAAGCAGUAAUUCCUUGAUUGGCAGCUGAAAAUAUGAUCAGGGUUCAAUCAUCCUUUUCUUUUUUUCAGUCUCUGACCAACCAAUUAGAUCACAUAUUCCAUUACACAAGUUGCACAAUUGAAAGAAAUGGUACGUUACCUAGAGUGGCAGGAGUAUCAUAAAAGAUACUAGAAGCUUGAACAACGGUGGCUCUAACAGUUGAAGACAUUGCAGAAAUCGUAUGCUUUUUCGUUUCCCUUUUGUUUGAGGAUUCCUUACACAACGUUCAGUAUAUAUAUUGCCCAUGAACAUGAGGUUCUUCUGCCAUUACUUGAACGAGACGAAGAGGCUGUGAAAAGUCUGCCUUGGUUUUCUAUAUUUAUUGUGAGCUUUUCUCCUCAUCACAAAUUUUGAAGUUAUCCGCAGACAUUGUGGACCAGCGACAUGACUUGUACAAAUUGAAAAUGACUGUGAUCUGUGAAAAGUAAUUUAAGAUAAAAUUCAAUUCAUGGUUUGAUAGUUUUAGACAAACAAAACACAAAGGUGAACACAUACCCAAAUUAUUAGGCUUUUAUUUUCAUUUCUUUUAUAUGUAUAUAUAUAAUGUAUAAGUUGCUAUGAUUAUUUGAAUUAAAGAAGGGACCCGCCCACGUGCAUAGUGGUGGCUGAGGCCUUUUGUGACCUCAAAAUAAAAGAAAAAAAGAAUAGUCAUUAAAAGCACAAGAUAGUCAUUAAAAGUACAUAGUGUUAUAGUUUUAGACGCCCAAAAGAAGUCUUUUUGUGCCUUGUAAGAAUCAAAAUAAGUUUUAUCGCUUUCUUUUUUUUCUACAGGUACGAUGAUUAUCUUUGAACGAAAAGAGGGAGCCGCCCACAUGCAUGGAUUCCAUCCAUCUAGCACACAGAUAAAUUGUCAUUUGUGGCUUGAGGCUUUCUAUGACUUGUACUAUAUAUCUAUAAAACCCAGCAUAUAGCUAACAACUGGGUCCGACCUCAUGUAUUGGUCCCUACCAAAAAUUAAUGAGUGAUUCAAUGGCAGCUAUGGUAGAAAAAUAAAAAGGGAGAACUAUGCUUACCCUCACGUUGAUUCAAGCAAAUAUAUUUUUUAGGAAUUCUAAUUUUCAUAUUUCACCCAAAACGCAUAAUCAAUAAAUUUAUCCUUCAAAUAUGUAUUUUAAUAACAACCAAAAUGAGAAUUCUAUAGUUAUCCCUUAUAAAAUCUUUAAUAUGACAAGUCAUCAUUUGAUCUGUUUGAUAUCCUCUCCAUAUCAUGUAUUUGAUAUCCUAACUUUGACAUUUUUUUAUUUAUAUACGCUGAAGUGAAUACACUUUCAUAUUUCUUUUCGUUCUUUUAAUAUUUUCAUAUUUAUUAACUUAGUCAUUUUUUUGAAACAUUAACAUAAAAUUAUAAUAUAUGAUCAAUAACUAAUGAGAACAAAUUAAACAUAAAUAUAAGUAUGAAAUGGACAGAAAAUAAAAAUUUUAUCCUACAAACAAUACACUAAAUAGUUUAAAAUAUUAAUUAUAAUAAUAUAUUUGAUACUUUAGGGUUUAGAUUAAAAAAUUAUGUUUUACUUUUUAGAGGCUAGGAUAUAGGAUUUCCAUUAACCAAAGAUUUUUUGUAUGAAUCCUAAAUAAAAUGUGCAUUUAUUUUGCAAAUUCUUAUCAUAUAUAAUUAAAAUAAAAUAAAUAUAUUUUUAUCAUAUUAUUUUUAAUUUUUAUUAUUUUGUGUCAAAAUCAUAGUCAAUGAUGGUGGUUUUUGUUAUGAUAUAGCUCUUAAAAGGAUGUUAUGAUGUAAUAAAUAUGAAGUUUAUUAUUUAUUUAAUGGUAUUUUGAUUUCACUUUUAUUAAUCUUUAUUUCAUGCAUUUUACCUUAUGAGUAUUCUAGCCUGACAUUUCUUGCACUAUACAUAACUUGGGUGCAUUAAAAAUUGCAAGAAAGAUCCAAGUUAUAGGUUCCUUGCAAGUAAAUGAUUUGUUCACAACUGCUUUGUGAACUUAAGUGAUCCAUUUGAUGUCAUAGUUCACUACCUCUUCAUUAGAGGAAUGAUUGAUCUUGACUAUCGAGAUAGAGUUCUCAUGGUGAGUACACUAGUAUGAUGAGUUAUGAUGUAAAGUUGUUGGAUAGUCAUAACUUCACUAAGUUGUUAUAUUGUAUUGUUUUCUCAACCUUGAGAGAAUAUUGAACUUGUGCCAAAGUUUGUAAUUAUUUGACCUAUGGGUGAGAUCCUAAAGUGAUAAUAUAUUCCUUACGAAUUGGGUCACAGUAGAUAGAAGUCGGUAGUAAUAAGUAUUCUCAAUAGAGACAUCAUGAAAUCUCAUGGAAUUUGAGAUAGUGUUGGGUGAUAAUAAGGACAUGUAAUCAUGAAAUCUAUGGUUGUAUUAAUUCUUUAAAUGAAAUUUGAUAUAUGCUUUUGUGAGUUAGAGUAUGUUAGUUGAUCAUAUAAUAAGAGAAUAUAUAACUCAAGGAUGGUAAGGUAAUAUUGAAAGGCAAAUAACUUUCACCUUAUUAGAUUAUAAACACCAAUUCAUGGGGAGACUAUAUGCAAUAGAUAGCAGGUCAUGAAGUUAAGCAUUUUGUGUCUUUUUGUAAUACACAUAGGGCAUUGAAAUGUAAUUGACUUUCUAUAGUAAGAUGUUGAGCCAACUUUAAAAUUGGAUUAUAAAGGAGCCAAUACUAUCUUAUGGGUCUUAGCGGUCCUCGCUCAAGUUUAUAUAUCUCAAUGACAUGGUUUGUGAGGGUUGGAUUGACUCAUGAUUCACUUAUGUGCAAAAAGGCGUUUUGGCAAGUAUGCAUGAAUGCAUAAGAGUUUGUUGGGAUAAAACCUUAUAAAUCAUGAGAUGAUGUAAUAGAUUUAGUUUCAUUAAUAAAUUUAUUUAUUUACUAUUCUAGUUCCCUCAUAUUAUCCCAUUGUCAUUAAUUGGUUAUCGGAGUAUUUACACCCAUAUCACUUGCAUUGUACAUGACUUAGGUGUAUUAGGAGUUGAACAAAAAAUCCAAGUCAUGGGUUUUUUGCAAGGUGAUAAGUAGUUUAUAGUGGGUUCAUGGAUUUGAGCAAUUUAGUAGAGACUAUAGUAUACUACCUCCUAAUUGGAAAGAUAAAUUGUCUUAGUCACCGAGAUGACUUUCCCAUGAUGAGUGAAACAAUGUGUAUGGUUACACAUUGGACAUGACCUAUGGUGAAUUAUGACAUUAAUUUUUGGGUAGUCAUGAUUUACCAUGAUACUAUAUUAUAUAAACUCUCAACCUUGAGAAGAUAUUGAGUUUGUGCUGAAAUCAAUAGGAAACUUCGAUCUAUGGGUGAGAUCCUAGUGUGGUCAUAUAUUCCUUAUAAAUUGGGUCACGGUUGAUGAAGAUUGGUGGCAACAAGUGUUCUUAAUAGAGAUACCAUAAUAUCUUAUGAGAUUAAGAGAACGUGUCUCUUGGGUGAUCCUAAAGACAUGUGAUUAAGAUGACUACGACCAUAACAAUUCCUUUAGUAGAAUUUGACAUAUGCUCUUUGUAAGCUAGAAUAUGUCAAUUGAUCACUUAACAGGAGGAUUUGUAACUCAAGGAUUGGAGAGAUAAUUUUGAAAGGUUGGGAUCAUUACCUUGUUAGAUUACAAACACUAGUUCAUGGGGAGUUUACAUGCAGUGGAUAGUAGGUCAUAGACCUAAACUUUGCCUUGUUGUAAUUAUAUAGCAUAUUAGAGUGUAGUUGACUCUCUUUAGUAGGGUGUUAAGUUAACCUUAGAAUUGGAUUCAAAGUGAGAUAGUAUUUUCCUAUAGGUUCCAAUGGUCCCUACUCAAUUUGGUGUCACAUUUGUUUGAGGGAUUUUAGGUUUGUAGUUAACAAGUGUGCAUAAGGGGGAAUUUAAUAAAAAUACAAGGUUGGACUAGAUCUUGUGAAUAGACUUUCUAGAUUGGCAUAAUUUAUUAAUUGGAUUCUAAUAGGGCUAAUUAAUUAAUUAGGACCUAAGUGAGCUAAAUUAGGUAACCUAAGCCCAAUUUGGGCUCAAGUCACUAAAGUUCACAAGGAAGCUUAUAAAUAAUUAUUUAAAGCCCAUUGGGUUUUAUGAGUGACUUAAGCUUGCCUUGGGUUUGGGUAACUUAUUAUAGCCUAAAAAGGUUCUUAAUUGAGGGCUUAGAUUAAUCAAUUAGCUUAGUCCAAAAGUAACAUUCACCAAAUUUAUUGGAAACUUUGAAUUACUCCAUUUCAUGAUCCAGGAUCAUAUAGGGUGCAUGCAACUAUCCUUAGGCUUCUCUAGAUCUAAUGCAAUGGAAAAUAUGGAUAUAAAAUCCAUAAAAUGUACUAGAUUUAUAGAUUAGAACUCAUACCUAUGAUUUGAAUGUUUCUAAAUUAAAUCUAAUCCCUAAAAAACAUCAAAGAUGUUUUAAAAGUCAUUUAUUUCCACCCAAUCUCUCCUUUCACAAAUAGACCCUAGCAUAAAAGAAGGGUAGGCUUUUGUCUAUCUUUUUUGAAGGUAGCUAGGGUUUUCUCAUUCUUUUAUGGCAUCAAACUCUUAGACUUUUACUUUUUCCAUUCUCUCCCACAUGUCUAGAGAGAAUCUAGUCCCCACUCUUCUAGAUAUCUAACAUUGGAGUUCGUAGCUUCAAUGAGGAGCCAUCAAAUAGAAAACCAAUAGGUUUGUGAGAUUUUCGAUGACCCCUACACAUUUAAUAACCUCCUUGACUGCAAAAAUUUGAUUUGGGAACAUCUAGAUCUUGGUAAAUACUUCUAAUCUAUAGAUCUAGAUCUAAUUUCUAUUUUAAAGGUGAUUUUUCUUUCAUUGCUAGGGUCUAGAUAAGCCUAGGAAAGUCUGCAUGCACUUAACGAGAUCUAGGGAUAGGGAACUUAGUGAUUUAUGCUUUCUUGUAGUUGGAGCUUUUUGCUUUUGAUUUUAACUUGAGUGUACUUUUGGCAUUUUCUUGCUUAAGCUUUUAAUUUUUUUGAAUGAUGUACAAUGCAUUUAUUUUUUUAGAGGAAUGUAUUUAUUUUUCUUAAUGAUGUACUUCCUUUUUUGAAGGAUAUACUUAAUUUUAUAACAAAUGUAUUUAAUUUUUCUAAAGAAUGCACUUAUUUUUCUAAGGGAUCUAGUUGUAUGGCAUAAGAUGUCCUCUCAAGCAGAGGUGGAGGUACUAUAGAUUUUGUAAUAGGCACAAUGAUUACUAAGGUGGUAUGUGAUGGAGGGAUUGGCAUAAAAGCCUGAAGUAAGGGUGUGUCUAAUAAUAUAAAUGGCUCGAGUAAGUAAAGAGCAAAUGGUGUGGAAAUUCAAGUAGGGAAGAAAGGGUUGGUAUGGAUUCAUCGGGGGAAGGAAAUGUAGGUUCCAUGAUACAGAUGCCUGAAGUAAGGGAAGAGUAGAUAAUGUGUAAGCCCUAAGUGGGGGUUGUUGAUGCCAGGUUAACUAAGGAUGGAAUCCCUUGGUUGUGGUAGCAAAAAGGUUCUGUCCAAAAGUCGGAGACUAGGCUUUCGCCUUCCCUGCACAAAGAUGUCCUGACACACUCUCCAAAACCUAAGUCAGACUUUGAAGUGGGUAGGAACCCUUAGAGAGAGAGAGAGAAGAUGAGAAAGUCCUUAGUAUUGCGUACUUGGGUUCUGGUUCCAGGAGGGUUUUUAUAGUGUCUAGGAUGGAGUCACUAUUGUGUUGAGUUAACAUCUUGACUUUUGCCGUCAGAUGGCAUCACAGUGGAUGGUAGGGUAAUCAUCACCAUUUAGGCGGCUGGCAGGGGUUUCUAGUGGGUACGUUAUGAUGGUUUACCUGUCACCUCAACCUAUUGGAGGUAUGGGGCAGUGUGUGAUAGUCGUUUGAUAUGAACGUGGAGACAAGGUAAGAUCCCAUCACCCAUACUUUUGUUAGAAAAAAAUGAUUUCCUGCAGCAAGGAAAUAGAGCAACCAGCCGGAAUGCACUGACAAUUUAAGGGAGCCUAGUAUUGCCGAUUGCUGGCAUGUAUAGUCCAGACUAGGACCUUCGAGUUUGAUGAUGAUCGUCCGAACAACAUUGAGAUGAGCGCCAUGUGGGCCAGUAGUGGUCUACCACGUGGGGGAAGAUCUCCACAGGGGUGACAAGGUUGGAAUGAAGGUAUUAUGGAAGAUGAAAUAUAAGUCUAUGACAGCUUUGAUUUGGUCUGGACUUCUAUUCCCUUUUGUGUGACCAUGAAUCCCAGGAAUUUGCCUGCGCUGACCUCAAAGGCACAUUUGGCCGGGAUCAACUUCCUAUUGUAAUUUCUCAUUAAGCGAAAGGUCUCUUCUAAAUGUUGGGCAUGUUUUGACCUGGUUUUGCUUUUUACCACAAUGUCAUCAAUGUAUACUUCCACUAUGUGGCCGACUAGUGGCUUAAAGAUCUUCUUCAUCAGCCUUUGGUAGGUGGCUCCCGCGUUCUUGAGCCCAAACGACAUGACUUUAUAGUAGUACAAUUCGUGAGGCAUUACAAAGGCGGGUUUUUUUUUCAUCCGACUAGAACAUCGAAAUCUGAUGAUAGCCAAAGAAAGCAUCUAUGAAAGAAAACAUCGUGUGUCCAGCAGUAGACUCGAAUAUCUGAUCUAUCCGGGGUAACGAAAAACUAUCUUUUGGACAUGCGUCAUUCAGGUUGGUAUAAUCAACACAAACUCGUCAUUUACCUCCAUUUUUUUGGGACCACCAUCACGUUUUCCAGCCAUUCCAGAUACUCUACUUCCCUUAUAAACCCAUCCGUGACCAACUUCUCUAUUUUACGUUGGAUAAUCUUCUGUCUAUCCGGAUGGAAGCAUCGGACUUUCUGUCGAACACGUCACGAGGAAGGCAUAACAUUGAGCUUGUGAGAGGCUACCGAUGGAUGGAUUCCGGGCAUAUCAGAAUAAGUCCAUGCAAAAACUUCUUUAUUCUGUUGAAACACUCCUUGGACUGCUUUAAGCUCUUUAAGUGCUGGUAAGGAGCUGACAUAGGUAACACGGUAGUUAUCCUGAGAGAGAACCAACGGUAGGAGUGGGUCAGCCGCCGACGGAUCUCUUUCUGUCGGGCUCUGUAAUUGCUAUUGUUCCUCCGUGUCAGUUCGUUUCGUAAGUGGCUUAAAAACACUUAUGGAUCCGGAUUCUUGCGCCACUUGAUGACAUUGUCGUGCUGCUAGCUGGCUUCCAAAGAGGUUGAUCGGUGCCUUCUCGAUUAAAUAGCUCACCAUUUGGUGAUACAUAGAGGGGAUGACCUUCAUACUGUGCAGCCAUGUGCGCCCCAUGAUGGCAUUGAAAAUGGACAAGUCUUCCACUACUAAGAAUUGCACAUUCUAGACCAUUGACUCGACUUGGACGAGUAGCACAAUGUCUCCUAGAGAAAUUGUUGAGGCCCCAUUGAAACCUGAUAGUACAUGUCCGGGAUUCUCUAAGGUGGAUGAAGAGAAUCCCAUCUGUUUGAACGCGAACAUCUAUAACAGGUCAUCCGAAUUGCCCGGAUCAACUAAAAUCCAUCUUACGUCAAAAUCAUUGAUCCCCAACAUCAGGAUGAGGGCAUCUUCAUACGAUUGUAACACUCGGUUGGGGUCCAUUGGAGGGAAGGUGAUUACCCCAUUUAUUAGGCACGUGUCCUCAUCGGGCAAGCCAGGUUGGAUGGAGCUAACCUGCUUUCUUACAGAGGCUGGUUGAAGUAAUCUUUGCCUCUUCUGUUUAGAGUUGUAUUUUUCAUCAAUGGAUACCCAAUGAAUGUAGUUGAUUAUGGCUCUAGGAGUUGCUGAAGUUGUGAGGGUCGUGGUGGCUGGACUUCAGGUUCCAUCCCCACGUCUCCCAUUUGAGUGGACGUACUAUUUCAGAUGGCCAACUCUUAUUAAUUUUUCCAGUAAGUAGUCGAGGCUUCUGCAUUGUUAUGUGGUGUGACCAUGGUCUUUAUGGUAAGCGCAAUUUCUAUUCUGAUCCCAUUUCACCGGAUCUGUCUUAAUUGGCUCGGGCCAUUUGAAAUUGGACAAAUCCUUGAUCAUGGGGAGGAGUUUGUUGUAUGAGAUAUUGAGGGGAGUGAGACUAGCUUGGGUUGCCUGUUGUCCAUCCUACCACUUACCAGUUUGUAUGCAUUGUUUGCAGGCUUAGAGCUCUCGACUGAGUUGUUCCUAGCAUUUUGAUUGGUGACCAGGACCUAUUGGGUAGCUGUGUGGACAUCGUUUCAAGCAUGGAGUACUUGUUUGCUCGUUUGAACAAAUCGUCCAUCGUUGCUGGAGGUUUUUUGGCAACAGAUUCAAAAAAGGGUGUACCCGGGCAGAUGCUUCUUUUGAAAAUUUGAAGGACGAUGUCUAUGCUACAAGGUUCUACUUGAAGCACAACAUGUCCGAACCUCUUUACAAACUCUCUCAAUAACUCAUUCUCCUGCAUCUUUAUGAUUUGCAAAGUACUGAUGUUCUGCUUAUGCCGUGCUAAGCACAGAUACUGUCCCACAAAGGCCUCCAACAAAUUCUGAAAAUUAUUCACGGAAUUCAUCAGAAGGCGAUGGAACCAUGAAAGAGACUAGCCAUGGAGGUUAGCUUGGAAGACCUUGCACAACAACGCAUCAUUCCCUAUGUCAAGGGUCAUGAGUUGCCUAUAAUGCAUGAUGUGGUCAAAUGGAUCGUUGGUUCCAUCGUAGGUAGAGAAUUUUGGAACCAUGAACCCUCUUGGAGAGUUGUAGUUGAUGAUGUAAGGGUUGAAAGGUGUGGAGAGCAUGUCAUUCGGUCGCCUACUGACAGAGCAGGGGGAACCCUUGUUGACCGGAUCCCCCACUAGUUGUUGUGCUAGUAGAUGGAUAAGCGAGUCUUUUAUAUCUAGUACAGCUGAGGGUCCAGGACAUGCCUCCUGAGCCGUCGCUACAUGCGGUUUCCCCUCCAUAUUGGGCAUCUAAGGCCCUAACCUUGCGAGCAUUGCAUCCGAUAGCUAGGACUUCUUAUCGUGUUUCCUUUUUGCUGAGAGACGAGUGGAGUCGAAGCUUUCAUCCUACGGUGCGUGACAAGCUGGUGGGGAUCGUUUCUUAGGCUGCAUUUCUUGUUCAUUAGAGGGGAACUCUGCAUACCCAGGAUAUGUCACCUCAUCGUUUUGCCUGGAGUUCGUUUGCUGACUUCUAGGUUGUAGGCUCCGAGGAGGGUCUGAUGAAGACACCUAAAUGCGCAACACUUCGUUCUCUUCCUUGAGUCUCCUCGUCUCAUGGAGCAGGGCUUGCAGUUAUCUCUUGUUCUCGUGCUAGUGUCUUUCCAUACUUUCGCACCAAUUGAAGUAGCCCUCGCUACCCAUGGCUGACGAUCGACUUUUAGAGGGUGUUGACAUCUUUAUUUCAUUCCCAUAGACGACGCCAAUGUUGACGCUAGGUCAACUAAGGAUGGAAUCCCUUGGUUGUGGCAGAAAAAAGGUUCUGUCCAAAUGCUGGAGACUGGGCUUUCGCCUUCCUUACACAAAGAUGUCCGGACAGGUUGUCCGAACACUCUUCGAAGCCUAAGUUAGAGUUUGAAGUGGGUAGGAACCCUUAGAGAGAGAGAGAGAGAGAAAAGAUGGGAAAGUCUUUAGUAUUGCAUACCUGGGUUCUGGUUCCAAAAGGGUUUUUAUAGUGUAUAGGAUGGAGUCACUGUUGUUCUGAGUUGGCAUCUUGGCUUUUGCCAUCAUGAUGGCAGCACAGUAGAUAGAUGGCAGGGUAAUCAUCACCAUUUAGGCAGUUGGUAGGGGUUGCUAGUGGGUACGUCAUGAUGGUUUGCCUAUCACCUCAACCUGUUGGAGGUAUGGGGCAGUGUGUGAUAGUCGUCUAAUAUGGACGUGGAGACAGGGUAAGAUCCCAUCGUUCAUACUUUUGUUAGAAGGAAAUGAUUGCUUGCAGUCGGGAGACAAAGUAACCAUCCGGAAUGCACUGGCAAUUUAAGGAAGCCUAGUACUACCGGUUGUUGGCAUGUAUAGUCUAGACGAGGACCUCUGAGUCUGAUGAUGAUCGUUCGAACAACAUUGAGAGGAGUGCCAUAUGGGUCAGUAGUGGUCUCCCAUGUGUGGGAAGGGUCCCAUAGGGGUGACAAGGUUGGUUGAAGGUAUCAUGGAGGAGGAAAUAUGAGUCCAAUGAUGUUGGUGACUCAACUCUUGUGUGGUUGGGAGGAGGGUGGUGUAGAUGAUAUGAAUCUCAUGUAAGGGUAAAAGAGGGAUAAGUCUAAUGAUAUAGAUGAUCGAAGCAAGAGAAGUACAAAUAACUACAAUUUUUAAUUUUUUUUAUUUAUCUUAAAGGAAAGAGAACAUUUUAUUUAAAAUUAAUAUACAAAAUCACAUGGUUGUAUCAUAUUUUAAUUUUUUUUUCAUUUAUCAUAUAACCAAUUUUUAAUUUAGUAUUUCUUUUCUAACUAUUUAAAAAUGUUAUUGAUAUAAAAAAUUUUAAAAGUCAAAAUUUAGUAUGAACUAAAAAAAAUUAAGUCCAAAUAAAAUUAGUAUUAAAUAUUUAAUACAAAUUUAUAUGAAAAAAUAGAUUUUCUUCUUUAUUUUUAUACACAAAAAUUUAAAAAUUUUAACUAAGCAAAGAUUUAGAACCAUAAUCAAGUUAAAACCAUAAGUAAAAAGCUAAAAUUAUCAUCAUAAAUUAUAAUUUUAACAUGAAAAAUUAAAAAUUAAAAAUAAUAUAAACAUAAAAAUAAUAUCAUAAAGAUAUUUUUACUUUAUUUAGAUGUACUAAAAUUUACAAAAUAAAUAAACAUUCUUUUAGCAUUUAUAUAUAUAUAAAAAAUCUAUCAGACAUAUCUUUUAUCUUAAAUCUCUAAAUAAUAAAAAUCUAAUUUUUAAAUCUUAACCCUACAUUGUGAAAUGUAUUUUUAUAAUUAAUAUUUUAAAUAAUCGAGCAUAUUAUUUGUAGGAUAGCAUUUGUCUUUUUAGUUCAUUUUAUAUUUAAUUUAUUCUCAUUAAUGAUUAUUAUAUAUUAUCAUUUUGUGUCUAAUGUGUUCAAAAAAUGAUUACAAUUAAUGAAUAUAAAAAGAUGAAUAAGUGAAAAGAAUAUGAAAUUAAAGAGCUUUCAUAGGAGAAAGUGUGUCCACUUGAUCAUAUUAAAAAAAAAAAGGUUGAAAUGAAAAGAUAUCAAACACUUCAAAUUAUGAUUUAUCAUACCACAUAUUAAAAUAAAAAAAAACAAUUCAUUUAGCUGUUAUUCAAUUGCAUAUUUUAGAAAUAAUUUUAUACGUUGUUUUUUGGGAUGAAUGACAUUUGAAAGUUGGAAUUCCUAAAAAAAAUAUACAUAUAUUUUUUUGAGUUAAUGUAUGUAAGCAUAAUUCUCCCAAAAACUGGUCAUGCUUCAUCAUAUUGUAUGUUUGUUUUUAUAAUGUGUGGUUAUUCAUCUUUAUAUUUGUGUAACGAAUUGAUAUUUUUAAAUUAAGAGUAUCAAUUGACAAGUAGAUGAAUCAAUUGAUUGGGCAUCUAAGAGACUUAUGUGUAGAAGACUAAAAUUAUAAAUGGGGAGUUAGAAAAUUUUCAUUUAUAUGAAGGUGUUACAACUUUUGUAAUCCUAUUAUUAUGAGAUUUAAUUUGUACAUAAAGUUUAUUAGUAAUGGAAGAAGAUGAAAAAGUAUAACCUAUGCAAUUACAUAAAUGCAUUCAAGUUGGUAAUCCACAAUUAUCCAUUAAUUUGUACAUAAUGUUUAUAAAUAAUGAGUAUAACUCCCAUAUAAUCUUUGAUGCAUGCAAAGACUAAGAGAUAUAAAUCUCUUUUAUAAGAUUAAGGUUCCAAGUCAUACUCUUAUUCUUAUGUCUUUUUGUUGUUUUACUUAGAACAACAUAUGACACAUAAGUGACUUGUCUACUAUAUGACAAUAAUGAGUUGAAGAUCUUAACCAAAACAAUUCAUAAGAUGACUUAGGCUCACUUCGAAAGUAUUAUCGAUAUCAUGGAUGAAGGUAAGAAUAUGGUCAUUAUUUUAUCAUUGCUUUAGCAUUUAUAUCUAUUAUGUUUUAUGCAUCCAAAAUUGAUUUUUCAAAAUAAUUAUUUUCACAUAAAGUUUAGUUAACACAUGCUUUUUUUUAAAAAAAAAAAAUUUAAAAGUUUAAAAAUAAAUUUGCACAAAUCACUUUUAAAUGUUUUUUUAUAGAAAAAAAUUAAAAUAUGAAAGAAUCACAUAUUUUUUCAACUUUGAAAAAUAGAACUAGUAAACAUAUUUAACAUUUAUAGAAAUAAAAAAUUUAUUAAUAUUUUAAAAAUAAAUAAAUAAAAGCAAUGGUGUAUACGAAUAAUACCUUAUUCACCCAAUUUAAUUAUCAUAUGCCCUAAGGACCAAAGUGCCUAACUAAAUUUUUGCUCAAGGUACAAUAAUGCUAAAAAAUCUUUAAUCAAAACAUGGAUCUCACUCUUACUUCUUCCCACCACUUUAAUUUUACCUAACCUCACCCGCAGAAGUUCGUUCAUGUCUUAACUUGAAUCAAGUAUAACUUGUUUGUCUAGUUUGAACCUCAUGUUGCUUAAGUCCCAAAAGGAUAAAAUUUCUUUCAGAAUAUAAUUAUGCACAAAAUCCUCAUUAGGGUUAGAGUUUGCUCCUUCAUUAAUUAUUUAUAAUGGUUUAGGGUCAUAAUAACAUACUUUAUUAUGUUAAAGCGAAGAAUGAUCAAGAGUCCAAGUACUAACAAAUGGCACUUAUGAACCAUAGGUUGAGGAAGUGGCUUGAGCCCAAGCUUGGGGCUUAGGUUAUUUUUUGUUUAGGCAAUACUUAAAUCCAAACUUAAGGGUGACAUUAGAAACAUAUUUCAAUCUCAUAUUUUAUCAUCUUAACUAUUGGACCUAAUUGCACUCAGCAUGGAACUUGUUUAUGCAUUUUGGGAAUCGCAUGCAUUUUAGUACCAAAAUAGCUAUGCAACUUUUUUUUCCACCUAAUUAAGUUCAAAAUUAAGGGGGUGUUUGGUAAAACUUAAUACAUUUUACUAAUGACUUAAAUUGACUUUAAGUUAAAUUAUAUUUAAGUUGUUAACUUAAAAUUUAUUAUUUAAUUCUUACUUUAAGUAUUAAGGUUGUUUAAUAAAAUUAACUUAAAACAUAUUUUAAAUUAUCAAAUUAACAUAUUUAUCAUCAUAAAUUAUAACUAGGGUAUGAAAGGUUGAGUAACAAUGGAGGUGGUGGAGUAGCAAAGGAAAUUGUGGAGGUAACUAGGACAAAGGAGGAUAAAAAAGUAACAUGAAGACAUAAAUUUCAAAAUAAGUUAAUUGUUUUUACUUAUUUCUUAAAAUUAUUUUUGGCUUUAAGUCACAUCAUUAAAUUAUUUUAGUAAAUAUACUUAAUAACCAAAAUUAAGUUAUUAAGUCACUUUAAGUUAUUAAGUUAAUUUACCAAACACCUACUAAUUUUCAAAUUCUAAGUUUAGCUUUGCUUUGUAGUGAAUGCAUUUAGGAUUAUCAAAGAGGUCAUCAAGGGUUUCAAACAUAUUCUAUUGCUCAACUUCUCUAAGAGGGACUUCAGAAGAGAAGAUCCCACAAUUCUAGUUUUGUAUUCGAUUAUAUGUAUCCUACCAUAUGGAGACGGUUCCUCAGCAUGCUGACUUAUUAUUAAGGGUUUCAUGUGAAUUACGUACGCAUAAUAUAACAUAUACAGUUGGAAGAUAUCUCGAGAUUCUGAUUUUAUAUCUGGCCCUCAAAAUUCCCUUGGCAUGCUGAUAUGUCAACUAUUGAAAAGCCUACAUGACUUGUAUAAUUUGAAAAUGACUUCAGUCAUGUGUAAAAAAUAAUAAGAGAUAAGUUUUGAUUAAGGCAGCGAAAAGUAAUUGUGGACUAAUUGUGGACUAACUACUGACUUGUACAAUUUGAAAAUGACUUCAGUCAUGUGUAAAAAAUAAUAAGAGAUAACAUUCAUACAUAGUUUUGAUUAAGGCAGCGAAAAGUAAUCACUGUCAGGUUGUGGACAUUCCACCUAGCUAUUGGAAAGUCUGCACCCAUUUUCUAUAUUCAUGAGCUUUUCUCCUGUUCGAAUUAGUUUUGAAGUUAUCUACAGACAUUAAUUGUGGACUAACUACAUGACUUGUACAAAUUGAAAAUGACUUCAGUCAUGUGUAAAAAAUAAUAAGAGAUAACAUUCAUUAAUUGUGGAUAAAUUGUCUAUAUGACUUUAAAGAAAAAAAGGUCAUAUAAAAACUGAUUGCCUUGUGGAUACGCCUACCAGUAGAUAGCUGAGAACAAGGUCUAACUCUCAACCUUUUGCACUGCCUCUACAAAGGAACACAAAAUUGAGAGAUUCAAAGGCAGCUAUGGUAUAAAUACUGUUUCAUAAAUUACUUUUCAAAUUUAAUUUGGUAGCAAAAAUAAAAAAUAUAAAAGCAUAAAAAAUUUCUUUCAUUCCCAAAAUUUUUGCAAAUAAAAUUUUAAAGUAAUAAAUUAAGACCUUGACUCUUUUCACAUCUUAUUCUCAUUUCUAAAAAAGCAAUGAUAGUAAUAAUCUUAUCUAUAAAUUUUAAAUGAUGUAAGAUCAUUGAAUUUUUAUUUUCUUUUAUCUUCUUGUUAUGUAAUUAUCAAACAUAUUUUUUUUAAGACAAGAAAAAAAUUAGACCAAACAAAUAUAUUUGAUAUUUAUAACAAUUGAAAACAUAAUUCGUAUUUUUCAUUUUAAAAAAUAAUAAAAGCAAAGGUGUAUCAAAACAAUACCUCAUUUGCUUAAUUAGUUAUCACAUUUCCUAAGUACAAAAGUAGGCAAGUAAAUUUUUGCUCAAGUUACAAUAGUGCUCAAAAUCCUUAUCCAAGACUUAGAUCCUAUUUCACAAUUGUUUUUUAAAAUAGUUUUUUUUCUUCCUUAAAACAAAAAAACAAGAAAAUAUGUUUGACAACUGGAAAAUAAGGUUGUGGACCCCGUAUUUCCCUCGAUGUGUUCCCAUUCAAUGGCGAAACUCGUUUUUUUUUAUUUAUUUGGUGAAAAAUCGAUUUUUAGAAAAAAGACUUGGAGUCGCCACUUAUUUUUGUUUUGUUUUUAAAGAGUAAACAAAAUAAGAAAGAAAGCUCUGAGUGUGACUCCUUAUUUUGGAAAAGGUGGUAUGUGAAAAACCAAAUAUGGACUCAGGGGUCAGAUUACUUUUCGGGAAGGUGCGGUAAAAACCGUAACACCCCUCUAAGUCCCUAAAAACAGGUCUCUACUAAUAAAAUGAAACAAGUGUGAAAAAAGAUUGAUCAAUUGUGGAUACCAUACAGUAAUCGAGAGUGUGAAAGCAAGACACGCGUGAUAACAAAUAAAUAAAUAAGCAUAAUCGAGUACGAAGCAUACCUUAAUCGCAAACCGAGAGCUAUUAUAAGAGACAAGAUUAAUGCACAAAUAUGGGAUAAUCACAUGCAUGUCAUAGAGUGAGGCAAGCCAAUCAAGUAUAACAAUCAAUCGAUCAAUGGAAAAUCUCAUAUGUUGGGCCCCACCAAAGCCCGAUUUAUCUUAGCAUAGAUUAACUCCAUAAAUUUCUUUAUUUGAAAUUAUAGAAUUAUUUAUGCUUAUUAAAAAUGUGAAAAUCAGAAAACUAUUAAAAAUCAAGGAGAAUUUAUGAAAAAUGUUUGUCGGAAAGAUAUGUGGCGACCAAUUUUAUUAAAAAUGGAAAAUAUUUAAAAUCAAGAAAAAAAGAAAAAGAAAAAAAGAAAAAAAAAGAAAUGAAUAAAAUAUAAGAAAAUAAAAAAUAAAAAAUAAGAAUGAAAAUAAAAAUAAUAAUAAUAAUAAACAAAUAAAAUAAAAGAUGCAUGACCAGUGGAAAGUGGUAGAGAUUGACUUAUUAGAAUUGGAUUUAUUUAAAACCAAGAGAGAAAAAUUGAAGAAUUAAAACCAUUUGAAAAACAAGAUUUUUUAUUUUUUUUUAUAAAAUUGAUUUUUGAAGGCGUGUAUGAAACUAUAGGAGAUGAGACACGUGUCUUAAGGAUGACCUAUCAAAGGUGGAUGCAAGGGGUCUUGUGCAGUACUGGUGGUCGAAUAUGGGAUACCAACAACUGAGAGGGCCCAGAUGACUACUGUGGGUCCGGAUGGUACAGAAUGUCUCUUUCCUUGUGGACCCCUGCAUCCCUUUCCAGCCUAAGUCAACCCCCGAAGCUAUCCAAUUCAGCCAUUUGGGUCCGAAAAUCCUCCUUAGUUUUGAUGUUGAUAUCACCAUCUUCUUCAACCUCAACUCUUCCAACAUCAGGUAAGCCAUAGCCAUGGCAGUGACCUACGGAUAAACGUUACCUCCCCACCCAUCCGGCACCAGAUUAAAGCCUGCAGAAUGCGGCUUCCCCUUCAGCCCUACUGACCGGAGCUCCGAGAGCCGCCUGAUCACUAUCCCAAGGCUCACAGCGUAGUAGUACCCGAUGAAGAUCUGUCACGGGCUCCACCGUUCCACCUCAUACCACGAUUUGCACACCACAAAUAUCACGUUUCGGUCCUUAUCGAUAGGAAUGAAAGAAAACACAUUCUCCAAAACCUCUUCCGGAAACGAGUACGCCAUUAAAAAUUUUUUCUUGGAGUCCCGAAUUCACAAACAAACCCUAAACCGGACUUUUCGAAGUCUCAAAUCUGAGAUGCCAUUAACAAGCUCAGUUGCAUAAUACAUCUUUCCGUUCAUUUCCCCAUUGGCUUUGUCCCUGAAGUAUUUGCAGCCCGACAGCUUGUAGGGGAACCUCACUGACAUAUCGUGUUCGGUCUUCUCACUCACCACGACAAGGCGAUAAAGAUAGAGUUGGAAAGGCGAAUCAAGAGGCAGCUUUAAGUGAUCGAUUUUAGAGAAAGAACCCGCUUCCUCCAUUCCCUCAUUGGAUGAAAUUUUGGAUAAUCGUUCACCAAUUCUAACUUUCAUCUUCACCAAGUCUCGAUGCUUCUUCUUUAAUAAGUGCAACGAAUCUGCAUGUCGGGAGACCAAAUUCUCACGACGCAUAAUAAAAGAAUUUGCACCCGCCGUUACCGAUCCUUCUCCUUUGAUACCAACUCAUCCAUAACUAUGUCAUUUAAUCACUUCUCCAUUUGACCAUCCAUUCCGAACAUGCCCAGAAAAUCAUUGCUACUUGUUAAGAUAUUAGGAAUGCUUUCCUUAUAUCAUUUUUUCCUUAUGUCAUUCAGUGUUAGGAUAUUAGGAAUGUUUAGAUAUUAGGAAAGUUAAGAUAUUAGGAAUAUUGACAUAUUAAGAAAAUUGAGAUAUUAAGAAUAUUGAGAUAUUAGGAAAGUUGAGAUAUUAGGAUAUUAGUUGUUAUUUCCUUAUAUUAUUCUUUCCUUGUAAUUCUUUCCCAUUCUUAGAAUGGUGAUUACCCUCUAUAUAUACUCUGUACAUGAACGAAUGAAAGUAUGAAUGAAAAACUACCAUUCAUCAAUUUGAAGAUGGUAUCAGAGCCAUGGAACUGAAAUCUUGGAUAUUUUGUUGGUAAGGCCAACCAUCGUCCCUCCUUUGCGAGAGAAAAAAGAAAAAAAUGAGUGAAAAAAAUACUAUUGUUUUUCAAUCUGAAGGUACUUUCAAUCCAGGAAUUAUUUUGAAUGAAUCAAACUAUGACGUUUGGUCACAACUCGUGGAGAUGCAUAUUGCCGAACGGGAAAAACUUUCCUACAUUCGAGGUAAGAUAAAUCUACCAAAAGAGUCAAAAGAUGGAUAUGAAAAAUGGUAUGCUGAGAAUCAAAAGGUGAAAAGAUGGUUGUUAAUGUCCAUGAGUCCAGAAAUUAUGAAGCAUUACUUACACUUACCCACCGCUCAAGAAAUUUGGAGUGCAUUAUCAAAGGCCUUCUAUGAUGGAAGUGAUGAAUUACAAGUUUUCACUUUGAAUCAAAAAGCCUUCACUGCCAAACAAAACAGCAGGUCUCUUUUUGAAUAUUAUGGGGAGUUAACUGAAAUUUUUUGCGAAUUGGAUCAUUGGGAUAAGGUAGUCAUGAAAGACCCUGAGGACAUUGCAGCAUACCGGAAAUCCAUUGAACGACAACGGGUGCACAUCUUUCUUGCUGGAUUUGGUGGUGACUUUGAGCAAGUUCGAGGAGAGAUUCUACGCAAAGAUCCUCUUCCCGAUUUGGAAGAAUGCUAUGCAUUGAUUCGACGAGAGGCAGUGCGUCAUGCUAGUAUGAAAGCAGAAUCUGACAACCCUGACACCUCAGCUAUGGUAGUCCGACAACAAUCAACCCGAAAUUGGCAGGACCAAUCCAAGACCAACUAUCCUAAGACAAACCCUAAUAUUGAUAAGUCAACCUUCAAAUGCACUCACUACAAUAAGGCUGGUCAUACCAAGAGUCGUUGCUUUGAAAUUGUGGGAUAUCCAGACUAGUGGGAUCACAAUCGUGAUCAAUGGAAGAAGGAUUCCAAGAAAACCUCAACUGCAGCUGUUGCUAAAAUAAAAACAGAGGCUAAUGUUGAUGAGAAAGCCUCUGCAUUGGUAGCCGCUACAGAUUAUGGUGGUAAGUUUUUAAAUACUUCUACACAUGUCAUUAAUAGUGCAUGGAUAAUUGAUUCUGGUGCUAUAGAUCAUAUGACUUUUGAUUCUAGACAAGUCUCACCCCUUAGACCUUCCUCACAAAAAAUUGUUUACACAGCCAAUGGUAACAUAACCCCAGUCAUUGGGGAAGGAUCCUUAACUCUUACUGAUACUUUGAAUUUGGAUUCUAUUUUAGUUGUUCCAUCCUUAAAUUACAAUCUUUUGUCAGUUUAUCAAAUCACUGCAGCCUUAUCUUGUAUUAUCAUUUUUUGGCCUGAAUGUUGUGUUUUUAAGGACAUCCAAACAAGACAGACGAUUGGUUGUGGUAUUAAGCGGGGAAAACUCUAUUAUUUGGACUUGCAGUAAAAGGAUUCAAAUAAGUUGUGACAAACCUUGAUGGCAGAUGGAUCUGAGGGGGAGAAGAAAAAGUCUGAAAUUUGGUUGUGGCAUCGACAUCUAGGAUAUGCUUCCUUUGGUUAUUUAAAAAAAUUGUUUCCUAGUUUGUUUGCAAAGAGUGAUAUUUUUGGUUUCGGUUGUGAUAUUUUUGAAUUGGCUAAAAGCCAUCGUGCUUCGUUUCCAUUAAUUUUGAAUAAAAGUCCGUCUCCUUUUAUGGUUAUACAUUCUGAUGUUUGGGGCCCAUCCAAAGUCCCAACUUUGAGUGGUUCGCGUUGGUUUGUUACUUUUAUUGAUGAUUGUACCAGAAUGACAUGGUUAUGCUUGAUGAAGACCAAAGAUGAAGUGAACUUGUUGUUUCAAAAUUUUCAUAAAAUGAUUUAAACUCAGUACAAUGCAAAGGUUCGGGUUCUGCGUAGUGAUAAUGGUGGAGAAUAUCAGAGUUUUGAUCUUCAAAAGUAUUUGGAAGGACAUGGCAGCAUUCAUCAAACUACUUGUUCCAAUACACCCCAGCAAAAUGGAGUCGCUGAACGAGAAAAUCGGCAGUUGUUAGAGGUUGUUCAUGCUUCCUUGAUAGCAGCAAAAAUACUGAUAUCUUAUUGGGGAGAAGCAAUCAGAUCUACCGCAUACUUGAUCAAUCGGGUACCUUCUAGCUCAAUUAACUUCCAAACACCUUUCCAAGCUCUUACUAAUGCCAUAGUUGCCCCAACCAUCCCAAAUCUACCUCCUCAUGUUUUUAGUUACGUUGCAUUUGUGCAUCUACACAAACACCAACGCACCAAGUUAACUUCUCAUGCAUUGCAAUGUGUGUUUGUUGGAUAUGCAUUGCACAAAAAGGGAUAUUGAUGUUACCAUCCUCCAACUCGACAAAUGUUUAUUACAAUGGAUGUGGUGUUUCAUGAAGAUUCGAUGUAUUUUUCAUCUAAGUCUGAACUUCAGGGGGAGUACCAUAAGGAAAUUCAGACUCUCAAUUAUGAUUAUCAUAUCUCUGAGGAUGAGGAAUCUGGAAAUCUGAACUAGUGAACAAGGAAGCGGGUGAGUUGGAUAUGAGUGGUCAACAAUUUGGGUCCGAAGAUGUUUUCACUGAAAUACCAAACCAAUCGUCGUCUGUUGAGGGUGUUCUUAAUUUGGAACCCGAUCCAUUCAUGAAACGGUUACCACACCAUCAUAAUAAAGGUAUUCCUAAACCCACAUAUGAACCUGAAUUGUCUACCAAAGUCAAAUAUCCCAUGAGCAACUAUGUGUCUAACCAUCGUUUGUCAGAAUCAAAUAAGUCAUUUGUAAAUCAAUUAUCUACUGUAGCAUAUUCCUAACAGUNNNNNNNNNNNNNNNNNNNNNNNNNNNNNNNNNNNNNNNNNNNNNNNNNNNNNNNNNNNNNNNNNNNNNNNNNNNNNNNNNNNNNNNNNNNNNNNNNNNNGCAACCAAUUCGAUUGUUUUGUGAAAAUAAAGCCGCAUGUGACAUUGCUAAUAAUCUAGUACAACAUGAUCGUACAAAGCAUGUCGAGGUGGAUAGAUUCUUUAUUAAGGAAAAGUUGGAUGACAAGAUUGUGGAAUUGCCUAAGAUUCGAUCAGAAGAUCAAUUGGCCGAUAUCCUCACCAAAGCUGUCUCAAGUCAAGUAUUCUAAAAAAUUUUAGACAAGUUGGGCAUGUGUGACAUCUAUGCACCAACUUGAGGGGGAGUGUUGAGAUAUUAGGAAUGCUUUCCUUAUAUCAUUCUUUCCUUAUGUCAUUCAGUGUUGGGAUAUUAGGAAUGUUUAGAUAUUAGGAAAGUUGAGAUAUUAGGAAUAUUGAGAUAUUAGGAAAGUUGAGAUAUUAGGAUAUUAGUUGUUAUUUCCUUAUAUUAUUCUUUCCUUGUAUCAUUAUUUCUCAUUCUUAGAAUGGUGAUUACCCUCUAUAUAUACUCUGUACAUGAAAAAAUGAAAGUAUGAAUGAAAAACUACCAUUCAUCAAUUUGAAGACUACUUCAUGUUCAACACUUUAAAAAAAAUGACGAUGUCAGGUGUGGUGUUGAAUACAGGAUGAAAAUGAGGAGCACGAUGGUGAGAUAAGUGGAUUGACGGGCAUUAAAAAGAAUGGUGACAUGUAUGGGUAUGGAAAAUGUGGAUCAUGAGUGGUUGAAGGAAAUGGUGAAAACGGUGGGAAAGAUAAAGUUGUGUGCAUAGUAAGGGUGUUGGCUGCUUGCAGUGGGUAAGAUUGAUGAAGAAAAUGGGCAUGAUGAGUAGGAGGUGCAGAGCAAUGAAGAUGACCUUGCAUAGGGGAAAAAGUGUGGUGGAGAAAUGGGAAGAAUGAAAACAGGUAGUGAGAGAAACAGAAAUGAAAGGUGAUCAUGCAUGCAUGAGGAUAGAUGGGUAGCGAAGGAAGUGGGUUUACAGGGUGCUGAAAGAAAUGGGUGUGUAGGUUGAAUGGAAGGUGGAGAUGUGGGGCGUGGUGACGGGUAUGAUUGACGGGCUCGGUGGGUAUGAGAAGAAGGAAGAUUGGAUAAUAGGAGAAAUGGGUAUGGAAGAUGGCCAUGUUUGCAUGAUUCCCAUGCAUGUGUGGAGCUUCAGGCGUGCACGUGAGAAAUGAUAGAAAUGAGGUAAAGGUUGGUUGGAUGAAUGAUGAGGGNNNNNNNNNNNNNNNNNNNNNNNNNNNNNNNNNNNNNNNNNNNNNNNNNNNNNNNNNNNNNNNNNNNNNNNNNNNNNNNNNNNNNNNNNNNNNNNNNNNNNNNNNNNNNNNNNNNNNNNNNNNNNNNNNNNNNNNNNNNNNNNNNNNNNNNNNNNNNNNNNNNNNNNNNNNNNNNNNNNNNNNNNNNNNNNNNNNNNNNNNNNNNNNNNNNNNNNAUGGUAUAGGAGAAACGAGCAUGGGGUUGGUAAGAUGGGUUAGUGUGGCCAUGUAUGGCCAUGCAAAGGUGGGAAGCAAUGAGAUUGAGAAGAGUGAAAACGGGUAGAGAGAAAAAUGGGUAUGAAAGAUGAGUAUGUGAGGAUUGAAAAUGGAAUGAGGUGUGAAAGUUUUAGAAACUAGGUUUCAGAAAACCAAUAUUUCUCAUUGUCUAUUACGAAAAGAUGAUAAGUGCUUGUACACUGAUGUUUUUUAUAUUUAUAUCUACAACAACCUAACUAACUAACUUCCUACUUCAAGACGUUCUUAACCAGCUUUUGUUUGUUGCAGUUGACCCUGGUUUGUUGCAGCUGAUCUCGGUUUGUUGUAGCUGACCCUGGACAGUUACUUUCUUGUUGAUUAGCUAGGUAUUGUCUAUCAUCCCCCCGCAAGCUCAUAGGGGAGGGAACAACAGAAAGCUUCGUUCUAAAACUAAGGAACUGGGAGCUUGAAAUAUUUUUAGUGAAAAUGUCAGCAACCUAUUCAGAGGAAGGAAGAUACUGAAUGAUGAGCUGUUUACGAAGAACGUGAUCCCAUAUAAAGUGAAGAUCCAUUUCAAUGUGUUUGGUCCUAGCAUAGAACAUGGGAUUUGCAGCCAAGUGAGCUGCACUUUUAUUAUCACACCAAAGUAGAGGUGGAGAGGAGGAAAGAGACAAAGUUCCUAUAAAACAUAUUGAAUCCAAAUAAUCUCCGAAGUAGCAGACGUAAGAGCACGAUACUCAGAUUCUGCACUGCUGCGAGACACAACCUUUUGUUUCUUGGAAGACCAUGACACUAAAUUCGGACCAAGGAAGAUGCCAUAGCCACCAGUGCUUCUUUGUCAUCUGAACAAGAUGCCCAGUCGACAUCAGUAUAUCCAUGAAUAUCCAACGAGGUGGACUACUGCAUUUGAAUGACAUAGGAUAAAGUGCCUUUGAGAUAUCGCAAAAUCCGUUUCACAGAAAGUUAGUGAGUAGUAGUGGGCGUAGCCAUGAAUUGACAAGCUUUAUUAACGACAAAAGAAAUGUCCAGUCUGGUAAGGAUAAGAUACUAAAGCGCACCAACCGUGUUGCGAUAUAAGGCGGCAUCCGAGAGAGGUUCACCAUUAAGAUGAGAUAACAUUUGUCCUAACAAUCCCGGAGUAGUAGCAGGGUUGGGGUCUAACAUGGCUAUGCGAGUUAAAAGGUCUUGUAUGUACUUGUGCUGACUGAGAUGAAACAUAGUACCAUAACGAACGACUUCAAUGCCCAGAAAAUAAUUGACAUAGCCCAGGUCACGAAGAGCAAAAGAAGAAUUGAGUUGAGUAAUAAAUGAGGAAACCUAAGCUGAAUUGCUACCAGUUACUAGUAUGUCGUCUACAUAAAUGAGUAAAAUAAGGACAUCAUGUGUUGAAUGAUGAAUAAAUAUCGAGCUGUCAGCUCGAGAAGCUUGAAAUCCCCAGCCAAGAAGUGAAGUGUUGAGUUUGGUAUACUAUGCCCGGGGGGCCUGCUUAAGGCCAUAUAAAGCCUUGUUAAGCUUGCAAACAUGAGAAGGAAAUUGAGAAUUGAUAAAGCUUGGGGGUUGAUGCAUAAACACAUGCUCUUCAAGAUCUCCAUGGAGAAAGGCAUUCUAAACAUCAAGUUGGUGAACUGACCAUUUAAAUGAGAGUGCAACUGCAAGUAUAAUACGGAUAGUAGAAGCCUUGACAACUGGACUAAAAGUCUCAAAAUAAUCGAGAACCAGAGUUUAAGUAAAUCCUUGUGCAACUAUCCGGGCCUUAUAACGAUCAACUGUUCCAUCGGGUUUAUAUUUGAGUUUGUAGACCCAUUUGCAACCAAUUAUAUUGCCAUUGGAGGGUGGUGGAACAAGAUGCCAUGUGAUGUUUCUUUGGAGAGAAAAAAACUCUUUUUCCAUGGCAAGAACCCAAUUUGAAUCUUUAACAGCCUAUGUGAAUGUAGUAGGUUCAGAAAUGUGAGAUGAGAAGUAGGCCUUCUUCUUGCUAAUGCCAUUCUUUGCAUGUGUGACCAUGGGAUGCUGAUUAGUAGGGUGAGGUUCAAAAGUGGAGAUGUUAGCAAAAGGAACUUGUAUCAGGUUUGGUAAAGAAGUAGUGGAGGAAGGCAUAUUAGUUAAUGGUGGGCUUGAAGUGGAAGGAGUUGUAUGGGAAGGUAGUGAGGACAUGGGAGGAGAUGAGCAAGGAAGAAGGGCUGGAGUGGGGAAAAUAACUACAUAUGAGAUUGAUCCAGAGUAGACUGAAAUGGGAACACCGUUUCAUGAAACACAACAUGCCUAGUAACAUAGAGACGGACUGACAAGGGGUCAAGACACAUAUAGCCUUUGUGAUCGAAACUAUAGCCAAGGAAGACGCAUUGAUUGGAGCGAUAGGAGAGUUUAUUUUUGUUGUAUGGUCGAAUAUAAGGGUAGCAUAAGCAACCGAAAAUUUUAAAGAUGUGAUAAUUUGGUGAUUUGAUAAAAAGAAUUUGAAAAUGAGAUUGAUAAUUGAGAACCUUAGUAGGUAGCUGAUUUAUAAGGAAAAUAGUUGUAUGAAAUGCAUAUAGCCAAAACUUGAAAGGUAAUGAUGCGGUGGCUAAUAAAGCAAGACCAAUUUCAAUUAUAUGUCGUAAUUUGCGCUUUGCUCGACCAUUCUGUUCAGGUGUGUAUGGACAAGAAAACUGACUUUUAAUACCAUGCAUAGCAAGAUAUGAAGAGAAGGCUUUAAAUUCACCACAAUAAUCAGACUGUAAACAUUGUAUCCGAGAAUUAAACUGAUUUUCAACUAGACUUUUGAACUUUAUGAAUACAGAUAAUGCUUGAUCUUUGUUGUGCAAUGGAUAAAUCCAAGAGAAACGAGAGAAAUCAUCAACAAACAAAAUGAAGUAGCGUGCACCAGUUGUGGACGGAAUGGAAGCAAGGCCCCAAAGAUCAGCAUGAAGUAAAGCUAAAGGAUGAGAAGCUCUAGAAACAGACACAUUGAAAGGCAAUUUAUGACUUUUUGCAAAUUGACAAGCACAAUAGACGUUGUUUUUAUGGCAUUUAUGUGAAAUAUUACAAGAGGUAAGAAUGUGUAAAGAGAUUUGCAUCCCCUCAAGUGUUGAGGUGAGAUUCAUUGGAAGGACACGAGAUGCUACAUCAUGGAUGUAGAAUGCAAUGUAAGCAAGCAUUGGAGAGUAAGUCUUAAGGUAAUGUUUUGCAAGUAAAUCUACUUAUUACAUUAGCAUAUAAUGGAAUAUAGAUUUAAAGUCUCUAACCUAACUCAUUGGUUUUUUUUUUUUUUUUUUUUUUUAUCUCUACACAUUGUGAGAAGGUUUUCUACAUAAAAAACUCUUUUUCAAUCUUAUGUUUGAUUGUUUUUUAGGCUUCUCUAAUUUAGAAUUGAGAUAGUUUAAUAAUUAAAUAUAUUUAAUUUAAGGCUUAAAAGGGUUAAACACCUAUUCACCCCUAGGUGUCAUACUAUAUCAAAUAACUUUCAAUGUUGGUGAAGUUUCUUCUUCAAAAGAGCUUUAACACGUGAUUGUUCUUCAAGGGAGCUUCCAAAGAGCUCAAGGGGCCUUUUUCUUAUCCAAUGUUUUAAUCUCACUCUCAACCAAUGGUAAAAGAAUAAACUUAAUCAUUAAAGAUUAAAGCUAACCAUGAAAGUAUCCAACUCACCUCGACAUAUGUUUUGGAUUUUUUUCAAGAAAGAAUGCAAGAGAGAUGAUUGAGAUGCUUCUAAGAGGAGAGUGUGAGGACAUAUAAAGGACAUUUUGUGCAAGUAAAGAAUCAUUUAUUUUCCAAGGAGAUAUACUUGCUUCUUCACUGAACUGGGAAUGGAUUUAAAUAGCUCCAUUGGGAAUGUAAAUGAAUAAAUAAAAGAAAAGAAAAAUGUGUCCAACAAUUUAUUGAAACCGUAAAGUGGAAGUAAUACAAGACCAUAAUGGGAAAUCCCACAUAUGUAGUAGUAUUUGGGCUUUGUAGUAUUGAAACUUUGGUAUAAGAAAUUUGAAAAUACUUCUAUAUAAUUAUUUUUUUUAAAAAAGUAGAAUAAGUUAGUCCUUUCGACAUAAUUGAGGCAUUAAAUUUUAAGCACUCUAAAAUUAUAAUCUUUACAAAUAAUAAAGAAGUUUUUGUAUCGAGACCAACUGAAUAUGAUUUGUAUGUUCUUAAUUUUCAUUUUCUUAUCUUUUGUCUUCCUAUACCUACAAGCCUAUUUAGAGAAAGACCUUUUAUCAAAAAAUGAGAGCUUAGAGUUAUUUCCCUCUGAAAAGAGAGUGGAUCAGAAGAUCUUUAUUGAAUAUAGGGUUUCUUCUAAAAUGAGAUGAAGUAAAUUAGCAACUCUGAACAAUCUAAAGGAAAAGGAAUUUGAGUUAAGUUGAUGGGGCGUAUGACACUUUAUUGGGACUUUAAAAGAUAUUUUCUCUUUCACGCUAUCCUUUGAAAUUGAGUUGUGUCCGCUUUCAACUUAAUUUUUUUCUCUCUGUUUUUCUAAUGAAAAUAUAUCUUUUGUUGGGGGAAAUAUUUUGUUGAAUAUAUAUAUUCAAAUGGAAGGUAAACGAAAAAAAAGUGAUAAAAAAUGGGUGUGAUGAAAUUUCAAAUUAUUAAUCAUCAUAUGUAUUUAACCUAAAUCCUAAAAAAGUGAAUGAAAUUAACUCAUUAAAUUUGUUAAAUACCACUUUUUAUAAAUAAAUUUUGAAUCAUGUAGCAUUCAAAACAAAAAUUUUGUAAAAGAUAUAAUUAACGAUAACAUGAAAUUAUUAAAAUAUUUAAAAUUAAAUAAUAUAAAGAAACAAUAAAAUGGUUCAUUUAUGUUGUUAGAACCUUUGUUUUAAAAACUGGUCGCUCCGAUCAGUCGGAUGGUCCAUCAAUGCCCUUUCCAGUCCGAUCUAGGGAAAUGGACAUAGACAACUGACAAUCAGACCAUCAACCAUUCUUCAUGGACCGGUCAAGGUCAAAACCUAAAUGGGUUUGCCCAAAUCCAUUCAUUCCUAACCUAUGUGCUUGUUCCCAAGGUUUGCAAGUAUAAAUACCCAUCUAUUGGCCUAAAUUCAUUCAUUUCAAGCCCAUUUGCUUGUUCUCAAGGUCUACAGGUAUAAAUACCCUAUAAGUGGUUUAUAGAUUUCCGAUGUGGGAUGAGUUUUGAUAAUAAUGAAAGGAGCUUUGCAUGGUAGGGAAUUGAACCUAGGACUUAUUUUUAACAAAAUGAUAGCACACCACUAUGCUACAAAGCUAUUUGAUUAAUAAUUUGAUAAAUAUCUAUAUCUCUGUUUUUUAAUUUCUAUCAUAUAAAACAUUUAAACAAAUAUAAAUAUUUAUAUCUACUAUUACUUUUAUAAUAAUUAUUAAUUAUAAACAUGAAAAUAAUAUAAAUUAAUCAAUAUAAUAAUUUUUAAAAUUUUAAAAUAACAAAAUACAUAGAUAUAUAAUUAAAUUAAAUAUUAUAAUUUUCUUUUCAUAUUUAAAUAUUAUACAGAUUCUAUUUAAUAAAAUUUAAUAUAUUAAUACAUUUAUAUUUAUAUUUAUCAUUUAAUUUGACAUAUUGAACAUAAAAAAUAAAAUAUUAUUAAAAAAAUUUAAUAAAAUAUAUUUUAAUUUAUUAUAAUUUUAUUAAAAUAUAAAUUAUAUAUUUAUAAUGUCAUUGAUUCGAUCGCGGUUUGACCAUUGGUUCAACUAGUGAAUCGUGAACUAGUAACUUUUUCGGUUCAAUAUUCGGUCCGAUUUUGAAAACAUUAGUUAAAACUUUUUUAUUUAUAGAAAAUGCUAAUUAUGCUUUAAAGUUGUAGGAUGUUAAAAGCCCAAAUACAUACCUACAUAUUUUCUUAUUUAUCUCCUAGUAUCUUUACCAAGUGAUAGAUAUAUUGGUGGCCAAGCAUUGUCAUCAUCAUUAUUUAUCUCCUAACAUCUUUAUGAAGUGAUUGGUGUAGGAAGAGUGUAAAUAAUUUUUAUUUUUACUUUAUUUUAUUCAAUUAGUUUUAUAUUUUCUGGGAAGAUUCCUAUUGGGAAUUAUUUUUAUUUUAUUUUAUUCUAUUAGUCUUAUAUUUUUGGGAAGAGUCCUAUUGGGAUUGUGCUAGUGGAGUCCCAUUCCUUUUAUAAGUAGAAUCCCCUUCCACUUUGAGUCAUGUUUUGAUUACAAGUAGAUUCCCAUUAGGACUGUGUUAGUGGCCUAUAAAAGCAGGUCACCUUUCACUCUCUAUAUACCAAUACCAAUUUUUCAAAGAAUUUUUCAUAGAGUUUUUCAAAGAGUCUUUUCAUACAUCUAUCUAGAUGAUUUUUUUCAAAAACCCGAGUUGUAUACAUCUCGCUUACAGAGUGCACCCAAGGCGAGAUCUGGGUGUUGAAUCCCGGAGAUAGACCAUUGGUACCUUAGUGUACCGAAUUUGUCUUCGAGGAGGGUGGAUCUAUUUCAAGGAUAGUGUUUGUCAUGCCUCAGUCAAUAAGUUUUUCUUAUUAAUUAUGUUCUUUGUUUGUGUCUUUUGGGCUAGUCAUUUGUUUCCAUACCCUUAAUCCAACAAUCUUGAAAUAUAUCCAAAUGUAAGCUUCUCUAGUUCACACCUGUCCUGACACCUCUAAAAUUGAUCCCUUCAAUGGCAUAUUCUUUAAGAGAUGGCAACAAAAGGUUUUAUCUGCAAUUGAUGUAGUGAACUUGGAACACAUUUUGAUUGACCCAAUACCAGAAGAUGGUUAUCAUUUGUUACCAACCUGGGAAUCCGGAAAUAAACAAGUUAGCAUGCUAUUCUAAGUACCCUUUCUAAUGAACUUUUUGAUAUUUAUUGUCAAUUUAAAGUUGCAAAAGAAAUUUGGGAUGCAAUAAAUAAAAAAUAUAGUUUGAAAAAUGCAGGAACUCAGAAAUAUGCCAUAGGGAAUUUUAAAAUUUUCCAAAUGACUGAGGAUAGAGAUGUAUCAUCUCAAAUCCAUGACUACCACUUGUUGAUUAAUGACUUAGCUAUUGAAGACAUUAAAUUACCCGAACCUUUUGUAGCUGGUUAUUUAGUAGAGACUUUUCUAGAGUCUUGGAAAAACUAUAAAAAUAACAUGAAACAUAAAAGGAAACAAAUGUCUCUAGAGGAUGUCAUAAUCCAUAUUAAGAUUGAGGAACAAAACCGAAAUAGGGACAAUGCUGAGAAAGUUAAGGAAUUGUCUUCUAAGGCUAAUGUAGUAGAAGAAAAACCUAAACCCAAAAACAAUAGGUUCAGGAAACAAAACUCUAGGAACAUCCCAUGCAUCAAACAAGAUCCAAAACCCAACUAUUAAAAAAAAAAGAAAAAAGAGUAAGGAUCUUGUUUGACUUUAAUAAAAUAGUUUUAACCAAGAAUGAUGCAUUUGUGGGGAAGGGCUAUUGUAAUAAGGGUUUAUUUAUGUUGAAUGUUUCUAAUAUUAUCAAUAAUAAUGCAUCUUCUUCUUUUUCUGCUUACGUAGUUGAUUCUUGUGAUAUUUGGCAUGGUAGACUAGGACAUGUGAACUUUUCAUAUCUGAAGAAAAUGGUUGAAUUGAGUUUAAUCCCUAAAUUGUCCUUAGAAAACCAUGGAAAAUGUGAAUCUUGUGUAGAAUCUAAAACCACAAAGAAAUCUUGUAAAUCAGUUAAAAGAGAAUCAGAUCUACUAAGUUUAAUACACAGUGACUUAGAAAACCUAAAAAAUACAAUGACUAGAGGUGGUAAACAAUUCUACAUAACUUUCAUAGAUGACUACUCAAGGUAUACAAGGGUAUAUUUUUUGAGAAACAAAGAUGAAGCAAGAUAUGCUUUCAUCAAGUACAAAAAUGAAGUGGAAAAUCAACUAAGUAAGAAAAUUAAAAGACUUAGAACUGAUAGGGGAAGAGAGUAUGAGUCCAACCCCUUUAAUUCUUUUUGUGAAGAUCAUGAGAUCAUUCACAAAACUACUCCUUCUUAUUCCCUUGAGUCUAAUGGAGUAGCAAAAAGGAAAAAUAGGACCUUAAAAGAAAUGAUGAAUGCAAUGUUGGUAAGUUCAGGAGCACCCUUGAAUUUGGGGGGGGGGGGGGGGGGGGGGNNNNNNNNNNNNNNNNNNNNNNNNNNNNNNNNNNNNNNNNNNNNNNNNNNNNNNNNNNNNNNNNNNNNNNNNNNNNNNNNNNNNNNNNNNNNNNNNNNNNAUAUUCAAUAUAGAAUACCUUAUAAGAAAACUGGAAAAACUCCUUAUGAGUUGUGGAAGGGUUAUGUACCUAAUAUAGCAUACCUGAAAGUGUGGGGGUGUUUAGCUAAAGUUCUUUUCCCUAAACCUAAAAAAUGAAAACUAGGUCCUAAAACCUUUGAUGCAAUGUUCAUUGGCUAUGUUGAGAAUAGUGCGACAUAUAGGUUUCUUGUUACUAAGUCAGAAAACAGUCUUGUAGAUGUCAAUACUAUAAUGGAAACAAGGAGUGCAGAUUUCUUUGAAAACAUCUUUCCUAUGAAACUAAAUGGUGAACAACAAGUUUAGAAAACAAGUAGAGACAAGUCUAUUGAACUUUCUGAAUUUGAACCUAGAAGGAGUCAAAGUGAUAGGAAAGAAACAAACCUUGGAGAUGGUUUCUACACCUUCCUAAUAGAUGAGGACCUUGAUCCUAUAAAGAAGCUACAACUUUUCCUGAUGCACCAUUCUGGAAUGAGGCCAUUAAUAAUGAAAUCGAAUCAAUCAUGUAUAACCAUACAUGGGAGUUAGUAGAUUUACCUCCUGGUGCAAAGACUGUUGGCUGUAAGUGGAUCUUUAAAAGAAAGUUAAAACAUGAUGGGUCCAUAGAGAAGUAUAGAGCUCAUUUAGUUGCCAAAGGCUUUAAACAAAGGAAGGAUGUAGAUUACUUUGACAACUUUGCCCCUGUGACUAGAAUAACAUCAAGUAGAGUAUUGAUCGCUUUAGCUUCCAUUCAUAAUUUGGUUAUACACCAAAUGGAUGUCAAGACUAUAUUCUUGAAUGGGGAUUUGGAAGAGGAAAUUUAUAUGGAACAACCUGAGGGUCGUGUAGUUCCAAGGAAGAAGAAAAAGGUGUGUAAGUUGGUUAAAUCACUAUAUGGGUUAAAACAAGCUCCCAAACAGUGGCGCAACAAGUUUGAUCAUGUGUUAGUAACUAAUGGAUAUUCCAUUAAUGAUGUUGAUAAGUGUAUCUAUAGUAAGUAUGAGGAUAACACAUGUGUAGUCAUCUACCUUUAUGUUGAUGACAUGUUGAUCUUUGGAACUAGCUUAGAGGUGGUGUGUGAGACCAAGAAAUUCCUAGGUCCUAUGUUUGAUAUGAAAGACCUAGAAAAGGCAAAGGUGAUUCUAGGAAUUAAAAUAACUAGACCACUAAUGAGCUUAAACUUUCUCAAGAGCACUAUGUUGAAAAAAUCCUAAGGAAGUUUGAACACUUUUAUUGUAAACUAGUGUCAACUCCUUAUGAUCCCAUCUCACUGCUGAAGAAAAAUAGAGAACAUAGUGUUGCCAAAUAGAACAUGCUCAGAUCAUAGGGAGCCUAAUGUACUUUAUGAACUAUACCAGACCUGACAUUGCUUAUGCAGUAGGUAGAUUGAGUCGAUACACCCAAAGUCCUAAUCAGGACCAUUGGACUUUUGUUCGUAGAGUCCUUAAGUAUUUGAGAGGCACUAUUAACUAUGGUUUGUGCUUUGUGGAUUUCCAAGUGUCCUUGAAGGAUUUAGUGAUGCAAAUUGGAUCUCAGAUUCAGAUGUGAUGAAAUCCACUAAUGGAUAUGUUUUCAUCUUUGGUGGAAGUAUAGUUUCUUGGAAGUCUACCAAUCAAACUUGCAUUACUCGGUGUACUAUGGAGGCUAAGUUUAUUGUCUUAGAAAAUGCAAGUUUUGAGGCUGAGUGGCUUAGAAACCUCUUAGCAUAUAUCCCUUUAUGGACAAGACCAACCCUAUCUGUGUCUAUGCGUUGUGAUAGCCAAGCUACAAUUGCUAAGGCUAAGAGUAAAAAUAUUUAAUGGGAAUAAUAGGCAUAUACGGCUAAGGCACAAUAUUGUGCGGUAGCUUCUUGAAACAGAGGUUAUAUCCCUAGAAUUUGUGAGGUCAGAGUUGAAUUUGGUUGAUCCUUUUACCAAACCACUAAAUAAGAAACUAGUAGAAGAAACAUCAAGGGGGAUGAGGCUUAUGCCUAUUACAGAAUUCAAGAGUGGUGGUAACCCAACCUAUUAGAAUGGAAAUUCCAUGAAGUAGGUUCAUAUGGGUAAUAACAAAUCACUUGUUGACUUGAGGUGCUAUAUCAACUCUAAUUGUAUGAGAGUCUAUCCAUAUGGUGUAGAUAGAUUGUAUUCUAUAUUGAUUAAGGUUGAGUGUUUACUCUUAAUGAAUACCAUAUUCCUUAUGGAUGGUAUGUUUAAAUGCAUAACAUACUUGAUGGAUUCACCUAUAUGAGAGUGGAGGUGGGGCCCCUUCCUAUGAGAACUUAGGUAGUUUCUCUAAAACUCUCAUGAAUAUCCAGGUAGGGCGCAUGGCCUAUUUGUGCCAACCUGUUUUGUACAACUCGUAGUGUAGUUGAGAAAACCAAUGUAGAUAAAAGUCCAUUGAGUUACAUCAAGAAACAUUGGUUCAUAGAAAUUUAUUUUCACCCUAUUUUGUGAUUCAAUACUUAUUUGUCCUAAGACUAGUUCAUAGCCUUUGGGCACCAGUACUGAUGCAUUGGAUUAUUUUUUCCUCAAAUAAAUAAAUAAUCACGUUUACACUUUGUGGGGGAUUGUAGGAAAAGUGUAAAUAAUUUUUAUUUUUAUUUUAUUUUAUUUUAUUAGUCUUAUAUUUUUGGGAAAAGUCCUAUUGGGAUUGUACUAGUGGAGUCCCAUUCCUUUUAUAAGUAGAAUCCCCUUCCACUCUGAGUCAUGUUCUGAUUACAAGUAGAUUCUCAUUGGGACUGUGUUAGUGUCCUAUAAAAGCAGGUCACCCCUCACUCUUUAUAUAUCAAUACCAUUUUUCCAGAGAAUUUUUUAGAGAGUUUUUCAAAUAUUCUUUUCAUACAUCUAUCUAGAAGAAUUUUUUCAAAACCCCGAGUUGUACACAUCUCGCAUACAGAGUGCACCCAAGGCAAGAUCUCGGUGUUGAAUCCUAGAGGUAGACCACUGGUACCCUAGUGCACCGAAUUCGUCUUUGAGGAGGGUGGAUCUAUUUUAAGGACAGUGUUUGUCACGCCUCAGCCGAUAAGUUUUUCUUCUUAUUAAUUAUGUUCUUUGUUUGUCUUUGGGGCUAGUAAUUUGUUUCCAUACCCUUAAUCCAACAAUAGGUAUAUGGGUGGCCCAAUCAUCAUCAUCAUUAUCAUCAUCUUUAAGAAGUGUAAGAUAAAUUUCCACAAUAUUAUAACUAUUCAAGCUAUACACUACAAUCUAACAUAUUACAUUAAAAAAAAAAAAAUCAUAAGUAGCUAGAUUCAAGAGGUAGUGUAAAACAUACCAUGUUUUAACCAAGUGUAGCUUCCAAUUCUUAUGUAAAAGUCUAUUUAUUACAAGAAAUUAAAAAAGGAAAAGGAUUAAAAUCUUAAAAACAUGGCAAUAAUAAAACCUUAGCAAAUAUCUAUUUGAAACUAUGUCAAAAUUUGCCUCAAAUUAACUUUUGAAUUAACUUUACUAUUAUUAUUGUUGGUGCAUAACCUUUUCGGAUGUGAUGAUCUAGUGACUAUCCAAGUCGCUAGCCAAUCUUCUAAUGUCACCUCCUCUGUUGGUGGAUGUCUUGGCUCUCUAGGAAAAUGAUCCCAUUUUUUCCAUGUUCUUUUUCCUCCUUUAUAGGCUUGAGUUAGAUGUUGGAGGUUGCGUGACAUACACGAUUAGCUUAGUAGGUUUGUGUCAGGCGGCGUGUGGCCAACUAGCCCUAAUGCUUCCUAUUGAUGUGAUAAGAUGAGGUUUUCCUUUGAGAUUUCUUCAUCAUACACAUCUUGUUGUUGCCUUCAGUAUUUGUGCUACGUGAUCAAUUUUGGUGGUGCGACAACUUCUUCCUAGUGACCAAUUUUUAAUUUUUCUAAGAUCGAUUGGGGUAGGCUCUCAUAUCAUUGUCUCAGAUCAUUGUAGGUUUAAAUGGAGUUAUGAUGGCUUCUCAACCUCAAGAUAAUAUUCAACUGAUAUAACAUCAGGGUACCCCUUCUCGCAAAAAUUCGGCACCCUCGAGAGGCAGCUUUUGUAGCAAUAUUCGUCAUCCCCAACCUAAACAAGUAGGUAGACCCACAAGUUGGUUGACUUCUAUAGUUGGUACCUUUAAUGCCCCAUUUCUUCGCGACCAAGUAGAUUUGGGACGACGUGCGUCGAGAGCUACUUGGGUUUGAAACCUCUGUGUUGCGGUCCUAGGAAGAUGGUAGGUCAUACAUGCAUCACCUUGAGGAGUGGCAACACUAGGGGAUUUUCACAAGACGGCACAACGUGCACAACCAUUUUUUGAUUUUUCUUUGGGAAUUUUGCUUUGUUUAGGAACUUUGCUAAAAUGGGCACUUAACCUUGAUGAACAUUUUUCCUAGAUGGACACUCAGCCUUGGUGGGCAUUUCGCCUAGAUGGGCGCUUGGCCUUGAUGGACAUUUUGCCUGGAUAGGCACUUGGCCUUGAUAGGUAUUUGCCUAGAUGGGCAUGUCACCUUGUUGGGCACUUGGCCUUGAUAGACAUAUCAUCUAGAUGGGUGUUUUGCCUUGAUGGGCACUUGGCUCUGAUGAGCAUUUUGCCUAGAUGGGUAUUUUGCCUUCUUUGAUAUUUCGUAGGUUGGAACUCUAUAGGUUGUAGGGUUGUGUUUUGGGUUCUAUUUUCCAGGCACACAUGUGUAGGGGUAGGGAAAUGCUGCCUUUCCGCCUGGUUUUAGCUCCAGAUGUGCUUAUUGCCAUGCCACAAUUUUUUUCUCGGGACUUGAGUAUGCUUGUAAGUAUUGUUUUGCUUCUUCUUGUUGUGUUUAAGGGUAAGUUGAGUUUUUUUUCGUACUCUUACAUUUUCUCUCCAUCUUUCUUUGUCUUUAUUCUGUUGUGCAGAUGAAGUGUUGCAUCAAGGAUUUUAGUAGGUGAAAGGGUGAGUUUCACUACCACAUUGCUGAAACUGACUAACUGAGGCAAGUCGGGUACUUCUUUUGCACCUAAGGCUUUUGGUCGAGUGCUUCUUGGAACCUAAGGCUAUGGUCGGGUGCUGUUUAGCACCUAAGGCUUUUUGGUUGAGUGCUUCUUUGGCACUUAAGACUUUGUUGGGUACUAUGCUUGGUUGGGUACUACUUGGGCACCCUAGGCUUUGUUGGGCACUAGGCCCAGUUGGAUGCCACUUGGGCACCUUAGGCUUUAUUGGGCUUUAAGCCUGGUUGGGUGCUACUUGGGCACCUUAGGCUUUGUUGGGCACUAGGCCUAGCCAGGUGCUACUUGGGCACCCUAGGCUUUAUUGGGCUCUAAGGUUGGUCGGGUGCUACUUGGGCACCUUAGGCUUUGUUGUGCUCUAGGCCCAGCUAGGUGCCACUUUAGCACCUUAGGCUUUAUUGGGCUCUAAGCCUGGUCAAGUGCUACUUGGGCACCUUAGGCUUUAUUGGGCAGCCUAGGCUUUAUUGGGCUCUAAGCUUGGUCGGGUGCUAUUGGGCACCUUAGGCUUUAUUGGGCUUUGAACUUGGCCAGGUGGUAAUUGGGCACCUUAGGCUUUGUUGGGCUUUAGGCCUGGGUGGGUGGUAAUUGGGCACCCUAGGCUUUAUUAGGCUUUAGCCUUGGGUGGGUGGUAAUUGGGCACCUUUGACUUUGUUAUGCUUUGGCCCUAGUUGGGUGGUAAUUGGGCACUUUAGGCUUUGUUAAGCUUUAGGCCUGGUUGGGUGGUAUUUAGACACCUUAGGCUUUUUGGGUUUAAUGGUUUUUCAUACCUAAAAGUUUUUUUUUUUUUUUUUUUUUUUUUUUUUUUUUUUUUUUUUUUNNNNNNNNNNNNNNNNNNNNNNNNNNNNNNNNNNNNNNNNNNNNNNNNNNNNNNNNNNNNNNNNNNNNNNNNNNNNNNNNNNNNNNNNNNNNNNNNNNNNUUGCUUCCCCAUUUGGGGAUCUUUGCUUUUAGAUGGAUUAGGCCAUUUGGUAAGACUGGGAAGUUCUUCUUUGGUAGUGUCACCAGCGCCUCUUUGUCCACUGAUAGCGUUUGGGCAGUUGCAUCGAGUCAGGCCACCAAGAUCUAGUUCUCCCUUUUGAUUCAUUUAACAGUUCUUCUUAGUUUGUCCAGCUACCUCGAUACUUUGUUAGCUACAAUUCAGUUGUUUGUUGUGGCCACUCAUAAGUUGUUGGGGUGACACACUCACCAUCAAUGUAGUUAGCUGCCAAUGUAGUCACCAUGGUUGGCUUUUGUUUCAUUCCCAUAGACAAUGCCAAUUGUUGGUGCACAACCUUUCUGGAUGUGAUGAUUUGGUGACUAUCUAGGUUGCUAGCCAAUCUUCUAUUGUCACCUCCUUUAUUGGUGGGUGUCUUGGUUCUCUAGGAAAAUGAUAUAUAUAUUUUUUUCUUGUUCUUCUUCCUCCUUUCUAGGCUAGAGUUAGACGUUGGAGGUUGUGUGGAGUACAUGAUUAGCUUGGCAGGUUUGUGUUAGGCAGUGUGUGGCCGACUAUCCCUGACGCUUCCUGUUGAUGUGACAAGAUUAUGUUUUCCUUAGAGAUUUGUUCCUCAUACAUGUCUUAUGGUUGCCUUUGGUAUUCAUGCCACAUGAUCCAUGUUGGCAGCCUAAAAACUUCUUCCCAGUGACCAAUUUUUUAGUUCUUCUAGGAUCAAUUGGGGUGGGCUCUCAGAUCACUGUAGGUUUAAACAAAGUCAGGAUGACUUCUCGAUCGGGAGACAAUAUUCAGCCGAUACAACAUCCGGGUACCCCUUCUCGGCAAAAUUCGGCACCCUUAGGAGGCAGCUUUUAUAGCGAAAUCUGCCACCCUCAACCCGAGUAAGCAGGUAAACCCACAGGUUGGUUGGCUUCUAUGGUUUGUACCUCCAAUUAUAAUGGAAGUAUAAAUUUUAAAAAGAUUCAGUGAUUGUAGGAUUCAAUUCUAAUGCUCUUAUAGUAGCCAAGGGUCCUCGAACUCAUGGUAGCACGCAGACAUGUCNNNNNNNNNNNNNNNNNNNNNNNNNNNNNNNNNNNNNNNNNNNNNNNNNNNNNNNNNNNNNNNNNNNNNNNNNNNNNNNNNNNNNNNNNNNNNNNNNNNNNNNNNNNNNNNNNNNNNNNNNNNNNNNNNNNNNNNNNNNNNNNNNNNNNNNNNNNNNNNNNNNNNNNNNNNNNNNNNNNNNNNNNNNNNNNNNNNNNNNNNNNNNNNNNNNNNNNNNNNNNNNNNNNNNNNNNNNNNNNNNNNNNNNNNNNNNNNNNNNNNNNNNNNNNNNNNNNNNNNNNNNNNNNNNNNNNNNNNNNNNNNNNNNNNNNNNNNNNNNNNNNNNNNNNNNNNNNNNNNNNNNNNNNNNNNNNNNNNNNNNNNNNNNNNNNNNNNNNNNNNNNNNNNNNNNNNNNNNNNNNNNNNNNNNNNNNNNNNNNNNNNNNNNNNNNNNNNNNNNNNNNNNNNNNNNNNNNNNNNNNNNNNNNNNNNNNNNNNNNNNNNNNNNNNNNNNNNNNNNNNNNNNNNNNNNNNNNNNNNNNNNNNNNNNNNNNNNNNNNNNNNNNNNNNNNNNNNNNNNNNNNNNNNNNNNNNNNNNNNNNNNNNNNNNNNNNNNNNNNNNNNNNNNNNNNNNNNNNNNNNNNNNNNNNNNNNNNNNNNNNNNNNNNNNNNNNNNNNNNNNNNNNNNNNNNNNNNNNNNNNNNNNNNNNNNNNNNNNNNNNNNNNNNNNNNNNNNNNNNNNNNNNNNNNNNNNNNNNNNNNNNNNNNNNNNNNNNNNNNNNNNNNNNNNNNNNNNNNUUCUAUCUAUGAAAAUAGUCAAGCCAAAAAUACAAAUUAUUCCCUCAUACAUUCUAUAGUUUUACCAUGUAUACGGAAUUUAAAUUAUUGUACUAGUGAGUAGAAAGUGAGUUAAGGUCUUCGACAACAAGGUCUCCAAGCAACCAUAUUUCCCCAUUUUAACCUCGCUACUGCCAUUGAUGCGGUAGUAGAGUAUAACUGGCACAUAUAGAUAUGUCGGAAGAGCAAUCGAGAGCAGAUAGCUUCAAAUUCUGAAUGUGAGGUUCAGUUGGAGACUGGUUUUAUUAGCCUUUUAGAUAUGAUUUGAACCUCUAUUUUAGACAAGAACUUGGAGCUUCUUAAUAUAUGUAGUACAACUCCUUUGGUCAUGUAUAUAUGUGCAUAUUGCCUUGAAUUCAUUCAAUAAUUCAGCCAUUGGGAUAGACAACAUACAAUUACUUGGCAACACAAUAUUAAAACUUUCAGAAUAUCACAAAAUUUGAUUGAUGUCAAAGACUCAUUCUGGACAUUUAGGAUAGGAGGUUACAAUAAAGCCAUUAACUGUACACAUAAGUUCAUUUGCAAGAAUUGGGAACCAAUUUAUAAGGUCAAGUAUAUUCGCUGUCAACAAGAAUGACGCCCUCCGAUUUAAGAUCUCUACUUAGGAGGAGCCCUGUUUGAUCAAGAUUCUAGGAUCAAGCAACAGAGUCAAAGUCAAAUCAAGAGCAACGUUCCAACUUGUCAUGAAGACCAAGAGUAGUAAUUGCUUCAGAGCAAGCAGUGAAAUUAUUUGCAAUCAGACAAUCAUCUUCUUCUUCAAGAAAUGCUGUAAUGAAAUUCUUACCAGUUGUGUCUGAUUCUUCAAAACACGAAGUUAGCAAACAGAUUGUUCAUAUAUAAUGUCAGUUGGCAUAAAUGUAGUGUUCAAUCACCAAGCCACAAAGAUGAUACAACCGAACAGUUGCAGCAGGAAAACUUGGUUGUUUAUUCAAAAUCAAGUAAAUCUCUAGGUCCCUCAUACCACGAUUGCUCCCAAUCUUUAGGUCUUGGCGUAGACAAUUCCUUCCUUGUCUAUGUGGACAGAACAAUGCUUGCUUUUCUAGCUGUUGUCUUUCACCAUGGUCUGUAGAAAAAAUGUCCAGAAAAACAACUAAUGAUCAGUAGAAGUGUAAAAGGGAAGAAAGAAAACUACUGAUAGAUUGGAUCAGUCAUCUUCUUCAUUAGAUCAUUACAAACAGUUGGCUUCGAAAAAUUUGAAGUUAAUCAACUUCAAUCAUGACAGAUAUUUAUUUUUCCUAAAAGAAUGUAAAUGUAUGGUUUCUCUUUGAGUACAGCUCUCUACAGCACAAAAAUAAACAAAUACUGUGGUCAAAGCUGUCAAUCAAAAUCCCGCUAUCCAGAAUGCAUGGCAAUGGCUGAUCCAAAUGGCCAUGUACUAGUACACUUACUAAGAUUUCCUUCAAGAAUCAUGUACAAGUGACCACCACUGUUCUCAGUGUCCAGAGGCAGUUUCCAUACUCAUCUCCUUCUCCAUGAGGCUCAUGUAGUUAUUGGAAGGAUUCAAUAAAUAAUCUCGAAACCCAUGAGCGUUUUUGGCCCAAAGAAAUUCAGCAUAUGACAUAAUUUUUUGUACAUAUAAGUUUAUGAAAUAACCAUGAUUACUAGAUGGGAAAAGUGUGUUUUCAUCCGCUGAUACGACUAUAUCAGUAAAAUGAGAACCAACUUUUCCUAUUUCAAAUUAAGUCACAUCAAAUUAAGCAGACUCUGAAAAAUACUGAUCUCCAUCUCAUAGUUUGUGAAUGGAUCAUAGACUGAAAAUGAAUUAUAUGUAAUCUACUUAAUUUACCAAAGGUAAUGAAAUCUAAUUUACAAUCAAAUUAAUUAAGACACUAAGAUACUAAUCACUACUAUACGUACAUAAAUCAUAUUACAUUUCUGUAACAUUACUUUUCUUCAAUACUUCCCCUGAUCAAGUUACAUAUCAAGAACUGAAAAAAUUGUAAGGCAAUCAAAUGAAACAAACCAAGAAAACAACAAUAUUAAAAGAGUUAUGAAAUAUCACCAGAUGAGAUCCAACAGUAAAUUAAGAAACUUUAUAUAAUCUUGCUUACCUUAGGGCCAUGUCUGGAGGAGUUCCAAUUGUAGGCCUAGGGCCAAUGUUGAUAGGCAGAUGCCCAGAUCUUAGACACCCUCAAGAUGAACAGUAGCAGCUACUCUAGGCGCUCCUACUGCACAGGCAAAAAACAAGUUAGUCAAUGUUUCUUGGCUAUUGGCUUUGGCUUGGACCUUGGUGGUUGUCAAUUUUAGAUAAAUAUGUUAAUAAUCCAAUGAAUAUAUUCCAAGAUUGAUGAUAUAUAUGCAAUAUAUCAAUUUGGAAAUGUCGAUAUAAACAUUUAAGGAAUUUAAAUUAGUCAAUUUUCAACAAUCUAGCACUCAAAAGUGUACAAAAUGAUUAUAACUUGAAAGUUUGAAUAUAAACUGAGGUACAAUAUUCCUAGAGGCUCAAGUCUCCCUAGAAGAAGGCAUCACAUCACAUAUUUAUGUGGCCUUAUGUUUGAGGUAAGCACCUUAUCUAUUGGCGAGUUCAUCAAUAAUAAGCUUUUUGCAAGAAAUUGGAGACCUAAAAUUACUCUAAUACUCCUUUUCUUGAAUAUUAAAUUUUCUUAAAAGUGUUAUCGAUUAUCAAACAUUUUUUUCAAUGGUGGAAACUAGUUUGCUACCAAAGUGAAGGUCAAAGUCCUAAUUAUCAUUUCGCUAAACAAUGUAAUAUAUUAUUAUACAAUUAUUGCUUUUAAAAGAAAAUUUACAAGCCAACCAGCAAAAUUUAUGAUUAUACCUUUUUCCGACUUCACUCACGCCAUUGAGCUUUAUAAUUUGAUGAAACAAGCCUAAAUCAAAAUUAUACAAAAAAAAAAAAAAAAGAAUCGGAGAAAACAAACUUGUAAGCACUAAAUUUUGUACUUGAAAAGAGGAAAUAGGAUGCCAAUUGUAGGUUUAAUUUAAAGAAACCUUAAAAAUAUUUUUAAAAUUAUAGGAAAACCCCUGUACCUUAGAAAGAUUGGGGCGAACAGUCUACCUUUUGGCGAUGUUCACAUCUUGAGAGGAAUGACUUCUUUCUUAGUAGAUCUGAUGAUGGUGUUGAUCUUUGGGAAGAGAUGAUUAGAAGGCUGCGUUGAAUUUUAGUGAGUGAGAGAGAAAAGAACACCCAAAACCCUAAAGCAAAAAAGGAAUUAAUAACUUAAAUAGAUUCCAUUUUUUCCUUAUGACGUGUCUACCUUAGUAAGGUUUUUAUGGCAGUGAUACCAUUUGGAUAAUUAAGUCAUUGAUUUUGAUGGAUCUUUUCCAUUUGAAUUUUUAAUAUAUAAACUUAAUCUUUUUACUUGGGGUAAUAUAUUUGGUAUUUUAUUAUUUACUUUUUAAUAAUAUGCUUUUAGUAGAUUGUUUAACUAUGUCCUAGUGUAAUAAGUAGUCUUGCAUUACAUUAUCUACUAUGGAGUAGGAGUGUGUUGCUUGUUCAAGGGAUGUAUGGGAAGUUGUUUAUUUGAUGAUAUACUUUAACACUUAGAGUCACGACUUGAGCUAAUAAGUUUAUCAAGAUCUAAGCAUUGAUGGUGUUGCUACUCUAUUGUAUAGCAAGGAUCCAAUUAGUCACAUUGUAGGACAAAACACUUAUAGACAAUUGAUUCUACUACAUUCAAGAUAUUGUUGCUUAAGGGGAGGUAGAGUCAAAACAAGUAGACAAUUGAUACAACUACACACACAACAUAGAGACAAAACACAUGAAUAAUACUAUGGUUGAAUAAAUUAAUUGGAUGACAUCAAGCUAACAUUGAUCUAGUAUAAUUAUUUUGGAGCCUAAAUGAGGAGUAUGAUGAUGAGAUGAUAAUUAUUUUGUCAUCAACAUAGUGAACAACAUAAAUUAAAAUCUUGAAAUGUCACCUUAGCCAACCUAGUAGAAAUGAUUCAUCAAAAUAUUUGAAUGUGAGAUCUUAAAUUGGUGUUUGACCAAUAAAUAUGGUAAUAAACAUAUAUUAAGUAUAUAUGAAGUGACCAAGCUAAGAUUUGUAUCAUGUUAUUGUAGGGAAUCCCGAAUCUCUUUGUUCCUUAUCCUAUGAUUAGGCUAGGUACAUGCGAUUCUUUCUAAGUUUUUCUAAAUCGUAUGAACAAUGGAAAAAUCGUGUUUUAAAAUAAUAACAAGAUUUAGAAUUUGCAUUAGAAAACAUUACAUUACAUUUGGAUGUUCCCAAAUCUAAUUCACGUAGUAAAGGAGAAGAUCGAAGUUGUCAGAGGUCUUGAACACCCAAGAUCUUCCACCAGAUGACUUUUCCUUGAUUUUAGAUCUUAAUUGGUGAGAAGGAAGGAAGACUAAAAAGGCUAUGGUUCUCUCUCUCUUUGAAUAGUGAAAGAUGGCUCACUUCAAAAAAGUAAUAAAAACCUUAUCAUUUAAGGGGUAUUUAUAGGGUUCCCUAAUUGGGUGUAAGUGACUUAAGCGUACUAAAGGCUUGAAUCAUUUAAUUUAGCUCAAAAUGAGUCUUAAUUGAUUAAUUAACCUAACAUAGUUAUCUAAUUAAUUAAUUAGCUAAAUCUGGAGACUUUGUUCACUUACCCCUAUGCAACCUUGCAUAAUUACCAAAACACCCUUAUACGCAAAAGUGAACUAAGAGUUGUGUCAUCAAGGUAUAUGAGCUUAGGUGGAGACCAUUGAGACCUAUAGGACAGUACUAGCUAUCCCAAAAUCUAAUUUUGAAGUUGAUUUAACAUUCCACUAUAGAGAAUCAAUUGCACUAUAAUACCUUAUGUAAAUAACAAUGAGAUGCUAAGUGGUCGAGCCCAUGACUUAUUAUCCAUUGCAUUCAGUCUCCCUAUGAACUGGUGUUUGUAGUCUAAUAAGGUGAAAACUAUCAACCUUUCAAGACUACUUCUACUAUCUUUGAAUUACAAAUCCUCUUAUUAUGUAUUUAAUUGAUAUAUCUUAACUCUCCAAGAGUCUAUGUUAAGUUCCAUUUAAGAAACUACUAUGACCAUAGUUUACAUGAACAUACCUCCUUAAGAUCACUUAAGGGGACACUCUGUCUCAAUCCUAUUAGAUUUCAUGGUACUUCUAUUACAAAUACUCAUUGUUACAGACUUGCAUCAAUAGUGAACCAAUCCAUAAGGAACAUAUGAUUAGCUUACGAUUUCAUUAGUAGGUCAAAGUCACUACUAACUUUAACACAAAAUCUAUAUUCUCUCAAGGUUAAGAGAUAAAACAAUGAAGCAACUUGGUGAAAUCAUGACUAUUUGAUACCUUUAUGUCAUGAUUCACCAUAAGUCUUGUCUAAUGUGUAACCAUACACACUAGUAUACUCACCAUGGAAAACCCAUCCUUAUAACCAAGACCACCCAUUCCUCUAAUUAUGAAGUAGCGUACUAUAACCUCUAAAGGGUUACCUAAGCCUAUGAAUUGGUUGUGAACAAGUCAUCUACUUACAAUGAAUCCAUUACUUAAAUUUUUUUUGCAACUCCUAAUGCACUCAAGUCAUGUACAAUACAAGAUAUGUAUAUCAAAAUGCUUACAAGGUAUAAUGUAUAGGAUUGGGAUAAACAAAAGUGAACUAAAAGUUAAUUAAUAAAUAAUAAAAUUUUAAAUUUAUUACAUCAUGUCAUGCUUUUAUGAAAUCUUUAAAAUAAUAAGAGCGCCCUUUCAUAAUCAUGAAUUAAACUUUAGUUUCAACUUCUAUCAAAGGCUAAAUGAGAAAAGCUAUCAUAGAGGAGGCCUCAGCCAAUGGGUAAGAUGCACUAUUAUACCAAACAAUAAGUGAAAAAUACAAUUUUAUUAAUACUUGAGACAAAAAAAAAAAGAAAAAAAGAAAUAAAAGGAUGAUUUUACACUCAAACCAAGCAUUUAUUUAUAAUGAAGUGCAGUCUCCAAACGCACAUGUGGACUUAUUGGAAAAUCAUACAAAUUAUUGAAGGACGACCUUAGCUAGGCUAACAGUCUCCUAAAUAGGCCAUCUUUUAUAUAUCUUUGCAUUCAUCCAUCUCCUCAUUGUCUUUGAUUUUAGAUGGUGAGGAUGUGAAAGUAACAGGAAGCAGUGGACGAUUGUUCACAGUGAGGCUUAGCACAUCAGCUCUCGAAUAAUGUCCUACCACAUCGAACUGGAACUUUGCUUUAGGAAUCUCUCCACGAACAUCUACAUAUCAAGUGAUCAUAAAAAUAUUUCAUCAGUCCAUGAUAAAUAUCAUAGAAUAUCAAGCCUUCGAUAAAACUAAGUUUGCAGUCCUCUUAAACCUAAAGAAUCGACUCAUUUGCCUUAUCUGCAUACUGAAAUAUUUGGAUAUAUAAUUGGAGAACUUAGGGCCAUACCAAGAUCAGCUGUGAAGAGGCCUUCUCCUUCAUAAUUCGGUCCUGCUAGAAUUUCGCCAUGGGGCGAAAUGAUGACACUACCUCCAGCCCAAACAAUAGAAUCUGGAGUGACAUCUUCUUCUGUAGGACUGUAAAGAUACUCAGGUGGAGGUGGGUAAUCUUUCCUCCGACAGAACUGGAUGGGUGAAAGAACAUAGCAUCCACCCUCAAUAGCGACGUGUCUCAUUGUAGCUACCCAUGUAUCCCCGGAAUCGGCAGUAG